rnacentral:lncRNA from 1 species
AAUUCAAUAGGGGCUAAUCAAAUUCCGUAAGGAUAUAGUUGAAUGCCGCACUGUUCCUUAUCCUCAAAUUCCCGUAGCUUUUGUCUCAGCUCUGGCUGAGGCCACCAGCAAUCGAACUUGUUUAAGCUCUUUAUGCACCAGAGCUGUUCAGGCAUCUUUUUCAAGUAAGCACAAGGGUUGAUAAUCAAGCAUUCUAGUUUUGGCAUGGCUGCAUUCCCCAUAGUCCACUCCUCUAGCCAUAGCAUUGAUUUCAGGUGCAACACCUUGAGGUUCGGAAAACCAUAAGAGCCACAAGUCAGCUUUCUACCUGAAUACGAGUUUUGCUUCAGUUUGAGCACUUGAAGAAGCGGCAGCUUUUCUAGUGUCGGCAUGGGAUCGUCCAUUAGGUCAGUAUUAGAAAAACUCAAGUGGGUUAGACUAUGAGGAAAUAGGUAUUCAGCAAGGAUGAUUUUGGAGAGCCGUGGCAUCUUGCUUUCGUUCACCAACUUCAAUGACCCGAGGCAGCUCAAUCUGCAAAUACUUUUGGACAACAAAGAUUGAUUAUAACUUAAAUCUCCCAAUAUGCAGAGAUUUCGAAGACUAGGCAGUCUGCCCAAUAUGUCUUCAGUACAGCAGCAAGGAUGCAAGGCCGAAAUGAAAUUUAGAUUUUCCAGAGAGCCACAAUAUUUUCCUGGAUGCGCAGGAAGUGUGAUUGACCCAAAAUUUAGAUGCCUGAGAUUGUUCAUCUUCCAAAAUUCAUCUGCCGUAUGAUCUAUGUAGCUAAAGGGCAUGUCUAGGGUGUAGAGGUUUAGAAGAUUGCUUAAUAAUGAUGAAGGCAGGCUUUUGAGGGAAGGGAUAUUCAACUUCAAAUAUCUCAAAAGAAAUAAAUUUUCAAUUCCGGAUGGAUAUUGGAUGAGAACAAGAGAUCCCAAAUCCAAUACUCUGAGAAGUUUGAACAUUCCACAAAAUUUCUCCCAAUCUAUGGGGUCAAAGUGGCGGGUUUCUGGAGAGAAGCACAAGAAAGAAUGCAGUUGCGAGUUGUAAUCAUCUAAGCAAGCAAAAUCACCCUCUCUUUCAACAGCGUUUAACCGUUUGGCUUUUUUUCCUGAUUCUCUAUGGAUAGAAGGGGAAAAGAUGAAUUCCACCUCAGGAGGAACUAAGAGCAACACGGGACGCCAACGGCCAGGAAUAGAGCAUGUGUUGAUAGUGCCUCCGGCUUUUCUCUUCUUUGCUUCAACAAAGCCUCCCUUGAUUAGUUGUUCUAAGUAACUCUCAGCAGUUGCCUCACUAUUGUCUGGAAUGAAACCUUCAGCUAUCCACAACUGAUAUAACUGCCUGGUGGAUAUCUCUAGGUGUGCGGCAAACACAGAUAAGUAGAGGAAACAAAGUUUCAAGCAAAAAGGUAAACUGCAACAUUUGAAGUACCGACGCGCAAAGGGUCGGCUGGUUGCUUCCGUUUUAUUUUCUUUUAAUGAGAUGCUUCCAUGAUAUAAGAUGGGGAAAGGCCAUCCUUUAUAUGUAGCUCUCAAUGGUCCUCCAGUGGGCACAAAAUCAAGCCCAAUGUUCUCUCCGUCUUCGAACUGAAAUGAGGUGACAAUCUCAAUUCGGCUGAGUGUGAUUAAUACUCUACUUCCAUUCUGAUUAUCCGGAAGUAUUUCUCGAAUAACAUCCCACAUAUCAAUUCUCCAUACAUCAUCAAUCACAAUCAAAUACCGCUUGGUCAUCAGAUAUUCAUGAAGAAUAACUUUUUUCAUUUCAUAAUUUUUAUCCAUUAUUUCACUCAACCUAGAUGAAGGCAUCAGACACUUAAUAACGAUAUCUAAUAUUUGGUCAGCAUCAUAUUCAUUUCUGUAAGGCUCUGAAAUCCAAGCGUGACAAUCAAAAUAAUGCUUCACAUAACUGCUGUUGUAAGCCUCUCCGGCGAAAGCCGUUUUGUCCAACCCAAUGCUAUCAAGUAUGGCCACCACUGAAUGCUGAGUUGGUCCCUCGAUCAAUAGAUCUAACAACUCCUCCAUUCUAUCAUCUAGGCCCACCGUGUUCCAAUUCUUAGAAGAUGAAGAUAUACCGGCUUCAGCUUCCAGAUUUUUGAAGGCAUCAAAGAUUUCGGAAUCGAUGUGCGGAACUUGUUGAGUCCGUUGUUUUAUAUCAAUGAUUCUGCUUUGGAGUCCUUGGAGAGCAUAAAAAAUGUCCUGGCUGCAGCUGCUUUGACUCUUCUGUUCACUAAUGCUGUUGAUGAAUGUGUCAAUGACCUUCUCAGAUUCAUACGUAAAGCAAUUGAUUUCGUCCAUAACGGUCGCCAGAUCUGGGUUUUCAAUUUCUCCGUGUCCUAUCUUUUCCCGCAGAAGGCAGGACGUUUCACAUUCAAAUUCACUUAGCCAAGAAGUAACGAUUUCAAUCUCGGCAUGAAGGUUCUGAACAGGUUGUUUUGCAGCAUCAGGCAACUUGACUUCUUCACCAGCUAACACCCUUCGCAGCCUCUCGGAAAAUAGUCUGAACUUGAUGUCCAUAUCUCCUCCUCUCUCUGAGUCACCCCGAAAUCAGUCCUGUAGCAUGCAAAGAAAUAAUUAAAAGAGAGAGGGGAAAAGGAAAAUAUGCUUUAAAGCUCUCAAUUCAAACAUUAGUGCUGGCUCCCGUACCUCCCUUCUCUUAGCUAGUUCUCCAGUCAAGAAGUUGAAUCAAGAUCGUUGACUCUCAAAUGAGAACAUAUCAAGGCAGAAUCUUUGUUUAAAAAAAAAAAAAAAAUCAUUGUUAAAACUUCUUAGCUCUUAAUUCAAAUAUUUAUGUGUCCGCUGAAACAUUUGUUGUUGAUGAAUGGAAUUGGUCUUAGGUUGACCGACGCAACUCUUUCUCUCAGCACUCAAGUAGUGUGAGCAUGUUAGUUUAGUCAAUAGUUUCUCCUAUACAUAAAUGAUGUUUUAUUAUAGAAUUUUGAUAAUAUGUACAAUGGGGAAGUAGCUGUAGAAAAGAGAUUGGGUUUUGGUUUAUGUGAUAUGGACUUGGAGCAUAAUAAAUUAUACAACUUGCAAUUAAAUCCAAAAUUGCAGUACUUCAUUACUUUUGUCUUCUGUGAAUAUAAAACACUGACUGUGUAAUCAUAGUACUUUUUUAAUAAGGACUAUGAUGAAAAUUAAAGACAAAUAAUGAUUUCAUGGAGUUAGUCACUGAGACACUGACUGCUAUAUCAUGAACAAGUUUUUCCGUGACUGUUUCUCGUGAAAAGGAAAUUUUUAAAAACUUUAUCAAUGCAGGUGAUGAAUAAAUAUGCUACCACUUGCAGCUAGGUUGGAGAAGAUGAGGGGAAGGUGACGCUAAUGAAUAAAUAUGCUACCACUUGCAAUUAAUAAAAUGCUAACCCUGUCUGGUAUGCUAGCUCUGUUCAUUGAAAGCAAAAGCAAUGGAAUCUUUGACCUUGCUGCCACAAGAUGAUUGUCAUGGAAGGCACCAAAGUUUCCAAGUAUGUAUGUAUAUCACACACACAUACUUGCAUGUAUGUAUAUCACAGAUAAAAUUUGUAUCCCAGGGUUAUAAAUGUGAAUUACUCACAUAAAUAUGCAUUAUUAAUCAUGUACGAUGCUCUCUUAUUUCUUCAACGAGAUUUAGAGAAAGUACUAAAUCCUUUGUAAAAUUUUAUAUUUAAUAUAUCUUCAUUUUAAAACUACAUCCAUAUCCCGCAUAAAUUUGGGGAUCAUUUUAGCAUUGUUUUUUAAGAAAUGCAAAUUGAUAAAGAGUUCUAACCGCGACAUAAGGGUGACAAAAAUAAUAGUAAAUUGUGCAAUGUUACAAUGUUAAUUCAAAAUAGUUAUAAUUUUUUAUUUAAUACGGUAAAUAAAAUUUACAGUUGUUUUGUAAUCAUUGUAUGAUUCUUUGAUUCAAAUAUCAUUAUUAUAUGAACCCUCACCUUUUUGAAAGGAUUACAUCUUAAGAAACUAUUUAUAAUUAUUUUCAUUUGAGUCAUUAGUGUUAAAAAUAUAACAAUGAAAUUAAUGAUAGUCGAAUUCCAAGUAGGAAUGACAGAAAAAUCCGGUCUAACUAGAGCAUGUUUUCUAAGUACUCUGGCUGGACUUGGACUUUGGUUUAAAAGCCCGAACCCAACCAGAAAGCCCAAAAAAUAUUGAAAAUUUUAAAAAUCUAUAUUACUUUAAUUAAAAUACAACUUUUUACAUAUAUGUAAUCCACUUAUAGCAUAUAUUUAAAGUUUUAAGUUAUUUGAACCCAACUAUUAAAGCCUAAUCUAACAAAGAAAAAACUAAAUUUUAUAAACUAUAAAAUUUGUAAAAUAUAAUGAAAAAAGUUUUUUUUUUUAAAAUACAUAAUGUAUACUUCAAGCUUUUUGGCUUGGCUUUGGAAAAAAAAAAAAAAAACCAACGUUUUGUCAUCCCAAAUUCCAAGCCUUAAAUACUUCUCCAAAUGUAUAGUACAACAUUGUAUAAUAGGACCAAUCACAUGGAGAUGAUUUGUAAAUUUUUGCACGCAAUUUUAAUAUGCACAUCAGAAGAGAGGCAGCAAUCUUAGUUGAUACUUUUAUUUGACAUAUGAUGUAAGAAAUGAAACAAAGAUUGUUGUUAACAUAAAUUAUUCUUUAUUGAUUUUGAUGAUAACAAACAUGAUUAAGAUUAAUUAAUCUUUUAAAAACUCAUCAUAAUUUUCAUCUAUUUUGACAAGUUUCAUAAAGUUUUUUUAUAAAGAUUUGGAGACAAAACAGUCAUCUUGCAAAAUAGUUCACUGCAGCAGUUUUUGUGGUAAACGGCGAUCCGACAUGUGUAAUAAACGGCUUGCCGAUUUCAAGCAGAAAUGGAGAUUAGCCUCUGGACGUAAACGGCGAUCCGACAUGAAUAAUAAACGGCUCGCCGAUUUCAAGCAGAAAUGGAGAUUAGCCUCUGGACGUAAACGGCGAUCCGACAUGUGUAAUAAACGGCUCACCGAUUUCAAGUAGAAAUGGAGAUUAGCCUCUGGACGUAAACGGCGAACCGACAUGUGUGAUAAACGGCUCGCCGAUAUCAACCAGUAGCCUCUGGACCUAAACGGCGAUCCGACAUAUAGGUAACGGCGAUCCGACAAUUUGAAAAAUCAGCCCAACGGUCAUAUUGACCAGUCAAACGGCGAUCCGACAUCUAGCUAACGGCGAUCCGACAGUGUACAGAAAGUCAAUAACGGCUAGUUUUCAGCUGCAGCUAUAAAUAAGCUCAUUCAAAUUCAAACAAAGCUUGAUCACAACACGACCAUUGAGCUAAUAUUCGAGAAUACAAUCUUCAUAGAGCUUAGAACACAUUCUUGCUUCAUCUAUUCACAAAUUAAGCAUCAUUGUGUAAUCCUAUAUAUUGUGAGAGGCAAAUCAAUUUGUAAUCUUUUACUUUGAGUGAUUGUAAGUGUUGGGAUACACUUGGGUUAAGAGAUUGGGGAUAAUCUCUUGUUGUAAAGGUUUAUUGACACCUUGGAAGUCAAGUGUAAGCAUUUGAAGCCUUGGAGGCUUGCUUAGUGAAAUCUUCAAGCCCAGUGAGCUUGGAGGAGUGGACGUAGGCGGGGAUUGCCGAACCACGUAAAAAUUAUUGUGUUUGCUCUCUCUUCCCUUACUCCUUUACUAUUGUGCUUUAUUGAAUUUAUUGUUUUUGAUUCCAUUAAGGCAUUAGAUUAAAUUGUUGUGUGAUUUGCUUAGCUUAAUUUUAAAAUCCCAAUUCACCCCCCCUCUUGGGUUGCACACUUGUAUUUCAUUUGGUAUCAGAGCCUUGUUCUCUUAUUAAGACUUAAUUGUCUAGAGUAAAAGAUCCAUGGCAACCCUAAAUGACUCAACCUUUAGAGAAGGGCAAUCUACAACUAGACCACCAUUCUUUGAUGGAAAUGACUAUGCUUAUUGGAAAACUAGAAUGAGAAUCUACUUGCAAGCCUUAGAUUAUGAAAUUUGGAAAGUUGUUUGUGACGGUUCAUUCAUGCCUAUGUUUAAAGAUGAAGUAGGAGAUGAUAUUCCUAAACCAUCAAGUCAAUGGAGUGAGUUAGAAAAGAGAAAAAUGUCUCUAAACUCCAAGGCUAUGAAUGCUUUGUUUUGUGCCCUUGAUAAGAAAGAAUUCCAUAGAGUAUCUAGUUAUGAAAGUGCAUAAGAGAUAUGGAACAAACUUGAAGUUGUCUAUGAAGGGACAAAUCAAGUAAAAGAGUCUAAAAUCAGUAGAUACACUCGUCAAUAUGAGUUGUUCCAAAUGGAACAAAAUGAAAAUGUGUAUUCUAUGUAUACUAGAUUCACGGACAUAGUGAACACCCUAGGUGCCUUAGGGAAAAUCUUCUCAAAUAGUGAGAAAGUUAAGAAAAUCAUUAGGUCACUUCCAAAAGAAUGGAGACCUAAAAGAACCGCCAUUGAAGAGGCCAAAGAUUUAAAUACUUUACCUCUUGAUGAUUUAAUUGGUUCUCUCAUUUCAUAUGAAGAGGAUUUAGCUGCAGAAAAAGGACAUGAUGAGAAGAAGAAAAGCAUUGCUCUCAAAGCUUCAAAAUAUGAGAGUGAUGGGGAGAGUGAACCAGAUGAUGAAGAGCUAGCCAUGCUAGCAAGGAGGUUCAGAAAAUUCUUCAAGAAAACCGGAGAGCGAAGAAAUUUCAGAAACUUCAAGAACCUUAGGGAGAAGAAGGAGGCAAUCACAUGCUAUGAAUGCAAGAAGCCUGGACAUAUAAGAUCAGAGUGCCCACUAAUCAACAAACUCAAGAAGAAAGCAAUGGUUGCAACUUGGGAUGAUAGUGAGGAAGAAUCAAGUGAUGAAGAAGGAUCGCAAGAAGUAUCAAACCUAGCACUCAUGGCAAUAUGAGGGAAUUAUGAUCUCAAUGAGGUAAGUGAUCCCACCUAUGAUGAAUUGUAUGAUGCUUUUAAAGAUUUACAUAAUGAGUUGAUGAAGAUUGGUAAAAAGAAUGUAUGUCUUAAAAAGGAAAUGGCAAAGCUUAAAAAUGAAAAUGAAUCUCUAAAUGCAAGAAUUGUUUGCCUAGAAGUAGGAAACAAAACAUUGCAUGAUGAAAUUGCAUUAUCAAAUGAAAAACCUAGCAUCUUACAUGAGCAUUUAGAAUCGCACAUAGAUGAGUUGAAAAAUGAGAACGAAAUGCUCAAGAAAAAGAGUAAUGAAUUGAAUGAAAUUGUUUUAAAAUUUACAAAUGGGCAAAAGAUGUUGGAUAAUAUGCUUAACUCACAAAAAUGUGUUUUUGAUAAAGGAGGACUUGGAUAUAAGCCUAACUUGAAGCAAAAGUAUUAUAAGAAUUAUUUUGUUAAAUCUACCUCCACAAAUGAUCAUAAGAUUGUAUGUCAUUAUUGUAAUCAAAAUGGUCACAUGAAAUAUAGAUGUCCCGUGAAAAGGAAUGCAUAUUAUGGUGUCAAAUGCAUUUGGGUUCCAAAAGGAACCGUUGCUAACUCUCAAGGACCCAAAAAGUUUUGGGUACCUAAAACUUGAGAUUUUUUCUUGUAGGGCUUGAAGAAGAAGAAAAAUAAAUGGUACUUGGACAGCGGUUGUUCAAGGCACAUGACCGGAAACUAUGCAUGGUUCUCAAGCUUCACCAAAAUUGAAAAUGGUGGAGACGUAUCUUUUGGAGACAACUCAAAAGGAAAAAUUCUUGGAAUUGGAAAUGUUGGUAAAGUCUCUUCAACUCUAAUUGAGAAUGUAUGUUUGGUUGAGAACUUGAAACACAACUUAAUUAGCAUUAGUCAAUUAUGUGACAAAUGUUAUAAAGUUAUCUUUGAUAAAUUUAGUUGUGUUAUUGAGAACUCAUGUGAUGGCAAAACCUUAUUUGUUGGGAAUAGAUGUGGUAAUGUUUAUAUCAUUGACAUAAAAUGUGCAUCUACUCUUGAUAAAUGUUUUUCGGCAUUGCAUGAUGAUUGUUGGUUAUGGCACAGAAGGUUAGGACAUGCAAGUAUGGAUUUGAUUUCAAAAAUUUUGAAAGAUGAUUUAGUUAAAGGUCUUCCGAAAAUUGGUUUUCAAAAGGAUAAGAUUUGUGAAGCUUGUCAAUUUGGAAAACAAAUUAAAACUUCUUUCAAGAAUAAAAACCAUAUUUCUACUUCAAAACCACUUGAACUUCUUCACAUAGAUCUUUUUGGGCCAUCUAGAUAUGCGAGUCUAAAUGGCAAAUAUUAUGCAUUUGUGAUAGUGGAUGAUUAUUCUAGAUAUACAUGGGUAUUAUUCUUAGCCAAUAAGGAUGAUGCUCUUGAUGCUUUUAAAGUGCUUUGUAAGAAAUUACAAAAUGAAAAAGUGCAUGGUAUUGUAUGCAUUAGGAGUGAUCAUGGAGGAGAAUUUGAAAAUCAUGCAUUUGAGAUUUUUUGCAAUAAUCUAGGCAUUGAGCAUCAAUUUUCAUCACCUAGAACUCCACAACAAAAUGGAGUUGUUGAGAGAAAGAAUAGGUCUAUUCAAGAAAUGGCUAGGACCAUGCUAAAUGAAAAUGCAUUACCAAAAUAUUUUUGGGCCGAAGCCGUCAACACCGCUUGUUAUGUUUUAAAUCGGGUGUUGAUUAGACCUAAUUUUAAUAAAACUCCCUAUGAGCUUUGGAAAGAUAGAAAACCCAACAUUGGAUAUUUCAAAGUUUUUGGAUGCAAAUGUUUUAUUUUAAACACAAAAGAUAAUCUUGGUAAAUUUGAUCCAAAAUCUGAUGUUGGCAUCUUUCUUGGGUAUUCAAACUCAAGUAAAGCUUAUAGAGUUUAUAAUAAAAGAACUUUAGUUGUGGAGGAGUCCAUGCAUGUUACGUUUGAUGAAUCUAACCCCUCCUCUGCGGAGAAAGGAGUUGCUAAUGAUGAUGCAGAUGGAGAGUUACAAGAAGAAUCAUCAAAAGAGAAUCAAGAGAAUGCACCACAAGAAAAUCAAGAGGAUAGACAAGAAGAACAAACAAAUAUGGAGCUGGAACAACAAGAUGGUAUUUCUCAAACACUCCCCAAGGAGUGGAGGUAUGUCUCUUCUCACCCUAAAGAUGUAAUUUUAGGAGAUCCCUCACGAGGUGUUACAACUAGAUCAUCACUUAAGAAUACUUGUGAGCAUAAUGCAUUCAUUUCUCAAAUUGAACCCAAAUCCUUUGAGGAUGCGGAAAAUGAUGAAUCUUGGAUUAUGGCAAUGCAAGAGGAAUUAAAUCAAUUUGAAAGAAACAAUGUGUGGGAAUUAGUUCCUAAACCGGAACAUCAAUCCGUCAUAGGUACUAAAUGGAUUUUUAGAAAUAAGAUGGAUGAAUCCGGUGUGGUUGUAAGGAAUAAAGCUAGAUUAGUGGCUCAAGGUUACAACCAAGAAGAAAGAAUUGAUUUUGAUGAAACUUUUGCACCCGUUGCUAGACUAGAAUCAAUUAGAAUGUUGUUGGCAUUUGCAUGUCAUAAAGAUUUCAUCUUAUUUCAAAUGGAUAUGAAAAGUGCUUUCCUAAAUGGGUAUAUUAUGGAAGAAGUGUAUGUAAAACAACUCCCUGGUUUUGAAAAUGAAAAGUUUCCAAAUCACGUUUAUAAGUUGCUUAAAACCUUGUAUGGAUUAAAACAAGCACCUAGAGCAUGGUAUGAUAGACUUAAGAAUUUCCUGUUGGUAAAUGAUUUUUCAAUGGGUAAAGCGGAUACUACUCUAUUUGUUAAGCAUAAGAACCAAGAUAUACUUAUUGUUCAAAUUUAUGUUGAUGAUAUUAUUUUUUGUUCUACUAAUGAAUUGUUGUGUAAAGAUUUUUCAUCGUGUAUGAGCAAAGAAUUUGAGAUGAGUAUGAUGGGUGAGUUGAAGUACUUUCUUGGACUUCAAAUCAAACAAAACGAGGAAGGAAUUUUCAUAAAUCAAGCCAAGUACGUAAAAGAUCUACUCAAACGAUUAAGCAUUGAUAACUCAAAGACCAAAAAUACACCAAUGAGCACAACAACCAAGCUGGACAAAAAUGAAAAAGGCAAAGAAGUGGAUAUCAAAAUGUAUCGAGGUAUGAUCGGAUCCCUACUUUAUUUGACUGCAAGUAGACCCGAUAUCAUGUUUAGUGUAUGUUUGUGUGCAAGAUUUCAGUCUUGUCCCAAGGAAUCUCAUUUGCUUGCUAUUAAAAGAAUUUUCCGUUAUUUGAGUGGAACCAUAGAUAUUUGCCUUUGGUAUCCUAGGGGAACUCAUAUAGAUUUAACAUGUUAUUCGGAUGCGGACUUUGCCGGUUAUAAAGUGGAUAGGAAGAGCACUAGUGGUACUUGCUAUAUUCUAGGACACUCUUUUGUUUCAUGGUUUAGCAAGAAACAAAAUUCUGUCGCACUUUCAACUACCGAGGCUGAAUAUAUAGCUGCCGGAAGUUGUUGUGCACAAGCACUUUGGAUGAAACAAACACUUAGAGAUUAUGGCAUUAAUCUUGAACAAAUUCCUAUUAAGUGUGAUAAUACUAGUGCUAUUAAUCUUUCAAAGAAUCCCAUUCAACACUCUCGAACCAAGCAUAUAGAAAUAAGACAUCAUUUCUUGAGAGAUCAUGUUCAAAAGAGAGACAUUGCAUUAGAGUUUAUUUCUACGGAAAAACAACUUGCCGAUAUUUUUACAAAACCACUUUGCGAAGAACAAUUUUCCAAAAUUCGGCAUGAACUUGGGAUGAUGAAAUUUUCACAUUAACAGCUUUAUUCAUGCUAUUGAGUCUAUUAACAUUGAUUGAUCUAUGCCUUGAUGCUUUAAUAUCUAUGGAAUGCUCAAUCGCAAUAUACAUGUGAUGUGUAUGGACAUUUGAAAAUGUAUGAAUUAAUUGUUGCAAUACAUAUUUAUAUUCAUGAAUUAUGCAUUGAACUGGCACUCAAAUCAUUUUGGAUCAAUAAAAUGAUCUUGAAAUGUAUUAAUAAGUAGCCAAAUAUCAAAAUAAAUGUGCGAAAUCAUAAGUUGUAGAAAACGGAUUGCCGUUAUUUCAAUAAACGGCUAACCGUUUUGGGCAGAAAUAAUGGAAAGUUUUCUGGGCGCUAUCGGUUCGCCGAUAACUAUCUAUCGACUCGCCGUCCUGAUACAAAAUUUUGAGGAGACUCCCUGGACCCUAUCGGCUCGCCGUUUUGAUGAAAUUUUUUUGGAGGACACUCUGGACUUUGUCGGCUCACCGUUUUCUCUAUAACGGCUCGCCGUUAUCACGCGUUAAUUGAACAGUCUUUCGUCUUCCUCCUCAUUUCGGUUUCUCUUUCUCUCUCUCUCUCACUUCAACCCGCGACUGCACCAGUUCUCUCCUCUCAAAUCCAUCACUUUUCUUGUCAUUUUUCACCAAAUUGCAGCAUUACAAACCAUUUCUAUCAUCUCUAGCACCUUUUAACAGAUUCAAAUCCUUCUUUUUCUUCAAAUUUUGAAAAAUCUCAUCUUGAAACCCUAGAACCAGCCGAAUCUCAUUUGUUCAUUUUGACCCAAAUUUCUUCAUUUUUCCAACUACAUUUCCACCUACAAUCACUAUCUCACACUUCGUUUCCACAUAUUUUUUUUAUCUCAUCUAUGGCGGAACGACCCCAAAGGCGUGCUCAAACCAAGCACACUGCUCCGCGACGUUCUAGUCCCCCCAGGUCUCCUCCUCAAGACUUCGAGAGUCUUCAUUUUUCUGAUGCCACCUCUGCUCAGCGAUUUCGUGAGAAAUUCAUGGGUAAACCCAUAAGUCAUUCCUCGCGCCUAUUUCUUUUUUAUGAUGAAGGGGGAGAUAAUUGGCAUUAGCAUUAUUUUUUUUCUUUUCUUUCUUCUAAUCAAUCUGUUUUAAACUUGUUUGAGAUUAAAAUUAAAUGAACUCUUUUUUAAGGGAAGUUAACAAGUCUUUCAAAAUCUCACAUAGGGGGAGCACAUAUUUAGGGGGAGCAAAAGUGCACAAGUAUUUUCUUGAAAAGUUUGUCAUCAUAAAAAAGGGAGAGAUUGUUAACAUAAAUUAUUCUUUAUUGAUUUUGAUGAUAACAAACAUGAUUAAGAUUAAUUAAUCUUUUAAAAGCUCAUCAUAAUUUUCAUCUAUUUUGACAAGUUUCAUAAAGUUUUUUUAUAAAGAUUUGGAGACAAAACAGUCAUCUUGCAAAAUAGUUCACUGCAGCAGUUUUUAUGGUAAACGGCGAUCCGACAUGUGUAAUAAACGGCUCGCCGAUUUCAAGCAGAAAUGGAGAUUAGCCUCUGGACGUAAACGGCGAUCCGACAUGUGUAAUAAACGGCUCGCCGAUUUCAAGCAGAAAUGGAGAUUAGCCUCUGGACGUAAACGACGAUCCGACAUGUGUAAUAAACGGCUCACCGAUUUCAAGCAGAAAUGGAGAUUAGUCUCUGGAUGUAAACAGCGAACCGACAUGUGUGAUAAACGGCUCGCCGAUAUCAACCAGUAGCCUCUGGACCUAAACGGCGAUCCGACAUAUAGGUAACGGCGAUCCGACAAUUUGAAAAAUCAGCCCAACGGUCAUAUUGACCAGUCAAACGGCGAUCCGACAUCUAGCUAACGGCGAUCCGACAGUGUGCAGAAAGUCAAUAACGGCUAGUUUUCAGCUGCAGCUAUAAAUAAGCUCAUUCAAAUUCAAACAAAGCUUGAUCACAACACGACCAUUGAGCUAAUAUUCGAGAAUACAAUCUUCAUAGAGCUUAGAACACAUUCUUGCUUCAUCUAUUCACAAAUUAAGCAUCAUUGUGUAAUCCUAUAUAUUGUGAGAGGCAAAUCAAUUUGUAAUCUUUUACUUUGAGUGAUUGUAAGUGUUGGGAUACACUUGGGUUAAGAGAUUGGGGAUAAUCUCUUGUUGUAAAGGUUUAUUGACACCUUGGAAGUCAAGUGUAAGCAUUUGAAGCCUUGGAGGCUUGCUUAGUGAAAUCCUCAAGCCCGGUGAGCUUGGAGGCGUGGACGUAGGCGGGGAUUGCCGAACCACGUAAAAAUUAUUGUGUUUGCUCUCUCUUCCCUUACUCCUUUACUAAUGUGCUUUAUUGAAUUUAUUGUUUUUGAUUCCAUUAAGGCAUUAGAUUAAAUUGUUGUGUGAUUUGCUUAGCUUAAUUUUAAAAUCCCAAUUCACCCCCCCUAUUGGGUUGCACACUUGUAUUUCAAUUGUAACAUUACAAAUUUUGCAAUUCAGCAUCCAAAAUAUCACUAGAACUUGCAAUACAAGCUUUAAUCUCUUCAACAACACGUAGAAUUGCGGCCAGGAACACAAACGAAAAUAUAGUUAAUUAUGCAUGCAUUAAAAAGAUGAGGAAGAGAAGAUUAAGGAACAACAUGAGGCCACCAAGAGAGUGAUGAAAAAUGUGGAUUUAAGUUUAAGUUCCACAAUGUUUACGUAAGCAAAAGUACAAAACUGAGAGUCUGAGGAUAAUGAUAUUAUUAAAUUUAAUAUGGGUUUGGUUCGUUUAGAUUCAUGAGUUUCUCUAGACAGUAUAUAUGGGGGGGCCAAAACUACUUUGCAUCGUAGGUUUUGUACACCACUCAUUUGUCAUUUACCAAAGUCACCAUUGGAUUUUAUGUGAUGGCUAGAAAAGAAACACAUAGAGAAAUAGGAGUAACUAGAGAAACAAAUAAUGAGCCAGUCACCUAGAUUGGUAAUUGAGCAUAGGGAAAUUAAAAAAAUUAACCUAAAUAUUUUUGAAUUAUUGGCUACUUCCAGAAAAAAUCUAAACCAGCAGUUUUUGAUCAAGCAAAUAAAUUAAUGGCAACAACAACGGCUAAUCGAUGCAGCGACGACAAUAGCUACUUCCGGCAAGAGUGGCCUCUUUAAUUUGAGUUAGUUCGCUGAGUUUAUGUCCAAAUUCUUAAAUGGAUAAUGGAUUUAUUGUUUUAGUACUAAUUGUUGAUGAUUAUAGGUUAGAUCUUGUUGAGCGAUUAGUUUUGUAACAUUAAGCUUGAAUUGGGAAUGAAAAUUGAUAAAAUGCUUAUGGAAAUAAGUUUGUUAAAUAUGGCAAUACAAAUGUUUGCUAAAUGCAUCAAAGAAUACAAUUUGUUGUUUAGGCUUAAUUUUGCUAUUAUUUUACUUGAAUGAAUAUUUAAGAAGGUUGCAACUAGUAUUGUCACUUGAAUAUAGGCAAUGGUAUGGUGUUAUAGGUGAUUAUGAGCAAAAGGUGUUUGUCACGAUAACCUUACAAGUGAAAACCUUCUUUUUCUCAAACAAAACCCAGAUUAAGAAGAUUCAAUACUUCAUCAUAACUAUCAGAAAACAAUAUCAAGACAAUAAUGCCAAGAACCAUUGUCUGUAAACUUUAUCCAUUGGAAAAAUCGUAAAUUAUGCUUACACGUACAAAUUUUUUUUUUUCGAUUUACAGGUGCUACGCCUUCAGCCGGUUACUCGUUUUCCAAAUGUUAAAUCUCAGUUGUUAGAUACAUUUCUUCACAAUCUAACGGCUCAUUCGCUAUAAGACAAAGGACUAGGGUACCAAACUCAUGACGCAAGAUAGCUGGAUCCUAUAUGGAGGAAAUUUAAUCCAUUUGACAACUAAAAAAUUCAGAAAUCAGACCUCGAUUUGACAACUUAGAAAUUAAACAAUUAAAUUUGUUCCAUAUGCAUGCAGAAAAUUAGAUGUAUGUAACUUGUCAUAUGCUAUAUAUAUUCUAUUAGGUGGAAGAUUUUCUACUUCAUUUGUAUGAAAUAUAUGGUAUCAAUCAAUAAAUUCUUAUUUUGUUAUAUAUACUAAUAGUAUCUUAUAGUAAACUAAGAAAUAUUAACGACCUUCUAGUGUGUUUUUGAGUUGUAAAAUAUUUUUUUAAAAAAAAUUGAGUUGUAAAGUCUAGUUAACUAUUUUGUGUUCCAUUACAGGUAUUAUGAAAGGUUUUUUAAGUUUUUAGAUGUUUUUUGACCCAUUUGUCAAUAAGUGAAACUAUUAGCACCACUUUAAACUCCUCAUAAAACCUUUCUUCUAAAAAUACACCAUUAAAAACAUAUGUAAAUCACAGUACUUUUAACAACACCUAUGUUAAUUCCACAAAUAACCUUAUAUAUUCUUUUUUCUUAAAAAAUCAUAUGAAAACAAAAAUCUUUUAUUACAAAACCUUUUCACCAAUUUAAUCUGAAGCCCUUGUUCGGUCCAUGAGAAUCAACUUUUCAAUUUAGAAUUGUUUGAGCUUCUUUUUCCAACUUUUUAUUCUUAUUCUUAUAUAUAAAUGAGAUUCUUAUAAUAUAUAAUUCAUUUUAUUACUUUAUUUUAUCAUUCCAUGGGAAAAGAUAUCAAAAUAUUACUAUGAAGUAAGUUAAACUAGUAGAAAGUAGAAUCUAAAAACUAGAUAAGAAAUAUUCUAGGCCAUCCUCUUGAGUGGAUCUAUUUUAAUUCCACGAACGUCCUUGUACACUUCUUUCUCACGAACUUUACUAUGAGAGAGAGAAAAAAGAAUUAAAUAAAUAUUUCUUUUAUACUAAAAAAGAUUGUUUGAAGCUAAUCCAAUAUUAUUUUAUACUCUGAAUGUGACAAUUCAUAUACUUUUAUAUGAACACGUAAAUCGAUAAAAUCAAGGGAACAAGUAGCCAUAAAAAAAAUAAGUCUUUCAUAAUUUGAAAAUAAUGAACUAAAAUUUCAGUCCAACAGAAACCGCUAAUUUAAGAAUAAAAAUAAAAAUAAAAAACAUUUUCACUAAAACAACAAAAUUAUCUUUUAUUUAAUAAAAAUAAAACCCAUGUGGGGUUAGAGGAAGAGAGAUGAAUUGUCAAACGUGAUUUGAUUAAAGUUAAAAAUAUAAAUUUAAGAUAUAAGAAUUCUUUUGGAGGUGCCAAUAGCUCCACUCUAUUCUCUUUUUGUAGUUCUGCAAGUUUUAAACACAUGGUUCUAUGAAGGUCUUAGAGGGUGCCGAUAGCUUUCAUUAAUGUGCAUAUAUGUUAAACAAUAUCGAAUUAUUAGAUGGACCUUACUACCUUACAGAUUCUGUGAGGUACACCUCUCUAAUAAGAAUGGAGCGUGGCUCACUUAAGACCACCUUUAUUUUACUUAUUUUGGAUGGACGUACCUUACAAAAUCUAGGUACCGUCUUCUUAUUUGAUCCAACGUAAUCAAACAAUCUAAUCUAAUUGACUUGCCGCUUUAUGUUAAUAUAUAAUUAUGUUUUCUUUCAAUUGUUCUAAUAGUUGAGAGUUUUAUCUGGAAGAUAGCUCGAAAAUCAGCACUAAUUCCUACUCAGAAGGGAGGGGAAAUAAAUUGUGAUAGAAAAUAAAUUAUUUGAGUGCUCUGUGAGUCGAAGACCCACUCUCAGAUAAACAACUAUCUUUGUAAAGCAGAGCAGAAUUCAGAAAUGUCAUUCUUCUCAUUGGGUCAUUUCUUCAAACGUCCUCUGUACAAACAGCUCACCCGCCAUCAUAAUCUAUUUCCAUUCAUAAAUCAAAAACCCAGAACCCAAUCAACAGCACCCUCUUCCGUUCUCAUAAAAGUUUCAGCCCGUUCUUCUUAUCUCUCAGUUCGCAUUUGCUGUCAAAAACAUGCGUUAGUGAGUUUCACUUUUUUUACUUGUCUGUGUUUUUAAGCAUUUUGAAUUAGUAAUUAUUUGGCAUUAAAAUUGAGGUGCCUUAACUUGUGUUGUCAGGAUAUGUUUUCUGAAGCUCUUCUAUGUUUCGGUGCAAGUUCUACAAGCGUGGAUGAACAUGAUAAUGAUGCUGAUGAGAAUUCUGAUGAGGUUGAAACUUUAUAUUUUAAUUUCUUCUUUUUUCUUUUCUUUGAUUAUUGAUUCAUGUCUUGUAAAGGAUCUUGAGAGCAACAAUAAACAAGAAAUGAAACUCAUAUCCCAUUUGCAAAUUGGCUUCUAUUUGUGUUAAAAAUGUGCUUCUAAUUUCCAAUGUAAUGUUACCAGUUGGCCUUAGAUUUUUGUUGACUUUGUUGGUUCACUUGCUAGAAAGGUAGCAAGAGGAAAAAAUUAAUAAUAAUACUAAAUAAGCACAAAAUUUUCAAUGUUUGUUAUGGAAUUGAAAAUUGUCUUCUUUCUGUGUUAAAAGAGUGCCUCGAAAACGCCAUUAUAAUGUUACUAGUUGGUCUUAGAUUUUGUUGAAUGUAGAGUGGCUUCUGAAUAAAACCUACAGUUGUUUUAAAUAUUACUUACAGAUUGCUUUUAUGCAGAUCUAUAUUGAUUCCAUAUUUCCUGAAUGCGAAGACGUGGAUGAGUGCAUAUUAAAUGCUGCUAAUUCCAUAGGCUUGAAAGAGACACCGCGCUAUGAAGUUAAAAUGGGCGAGCAAUGCAACUGGAUAAAGAAAACUCAGGUUUGUUUGCUCUCCUUUUUCUCUCUAUCACAACGGUAUACUUGGAAUUAUUGUUAUGUCAAUUUGAUUCUCUUUUCUUACAUGUUGCAGGAGUCAUUUCCUCCCGUUGAGGUGACAAAAUGACUAUGGAUUGUGCCCGAGUGGAGUACACCACCAGUAUGAUUAUCUCACUCCCUUGGGAGGUUUUGUUGCAGUAAUUUCUCAUAUUUUAUAGGGUACCCUCUUCUUCAUUGCUUCUGUAGAAGUCAUAUAAGCUAGUUGCUUCCGAAUCUUUAAAUUUAUUCAAUGAGGAACCUUCGUUUGGAAAAUUGAUUUUCAUCUGAUCCAAGAAGGUUGCUUUGAAGGAGAGAGCUUACGAAAUGCAGCAAGCAAAAUCAUAACUACAAAGCAGUAGACUAAUUGUUAGCUGACUCUAAGCAAAGGCAACAUUCAUAAAAGAUGACGAAGAGUUUCUAAUAUUUACCAAUAUAACUUAUACCAAGUGCACAGAAUAGAGCCAUCUGAACAUUCAGGAGCAUAAGAACAACCAAUGUAGCUGCAAAGAUGAGAUGUAAUUACUACUGUGAAGACGAGGAAAGAAUUCCAUUAUUUAUCAACAGCUAGACUGUAGUAUAAUGGAAAGACUUGCUAAGGAAAGUUUAAAGCAACACUCAUCCAGAGAAGGCAAGAACAAGUAUAGAAGCAAAAGUGCACACAUUCAUAUAUAGGGGUAACGAGUAAUGUAUCAUAAAUCACUUGCUCUAGCUCAGUAAAAAAAAAAACAACGCAAAAUUGCAAAUUCAUAGUGUUGUUAUUUAUCAAUUGGAACCCAGAAAAAAAAAAUCUGUAACUUAAUUAUUCAUUUAAGCAGAUUGAAACCCUUACAAACACAGGUAAGCAAAUCAAAAUUAUCAUUAAAAAUCCAAUCAAGGCCACAUAAAUCUAAUCACAUCCAAAAGCAUCCCAAAAUCUCGUUCAAAAUUCAUAUACCCACAUACAAAAACCAUUCAAAAAUUUAAUGCUAAAUUUAAACCCAAAUCUGUUGCGUAAUUGCAUUGUACACGUAAUUACUUUAUCUUGAUAACGCCCCCACAAGCAUUCUGCAAAAGGGGAAAUCAAAUACUUAAAACUAUUAUAGAAACUUGAAAGAGCAAGUCUUAGAUUGACUUGAAUUUGAACCAAGAGGCAACACAAACAAACGCGUUCAAGCAAAUGCAAAACCAACGAAACCCCAAUCAUCAAGUGGUCCAUUGAUAAAUAAAAUCCAAUUACAUCGACUGCGCUGCCAAAAUUUUAUUAAAGAAAACGGAUCCCGUGCUCAGCUGAGCUUGUGCUGAGCACCGGAUCAAUGGUCAAUAAUUAUUUAAGACCCACGUAAGAUAAUUGCUGAGCAUUGAUUCGGUACUCAACACAAGCUCAGUUGAGCACUGUUUAUAAAAAAAAAUAAAAGCGGCAUCAGCAUGUGCUUUGAUUGAAUGCCUUGAGAACACGUAAGCAUCACCCAAAUUAUUAUUUACACAUGCUUGCGUGAUCCAAUUGCAUGCCAGAAAAUACAAAGAAUGAAUCUUGGUGAAAAUUUCCUAUCCACUAAAGGGUGCGUUUGCAAAUCUCAAAAUCGGUGGGGGAAGUGCGGCGGUGUGGCGGGCUAUAGCCAGACAGAGCCAGAGAAUCUGAAGCAAAACACCAAAAAUCUUGCCCUGGAAAUGACUCAGCAAGAAUACUUCGGUAUUAUAUGCUAAAUUUUUUUAAAGAAUUUUCUUUUAGUAUUGUUUUGAGAAAAUAAAUAAAGGUAGUCAAUUUAAUAUGCUUAAGAAUUUUUAGUAUUUUAAAGACUGGACAAAGCAUAACUUACUUUUUAAAUUUAAUAGAUAAGUGUCUAGAAUAAUAGCGUAUUUAAAGUAAUUAUUAGAGUGCAAAUAGUCAUAUCCAAUACUUCAACUUAUAAUGGUUGGUUGUUGUUUUCACUGAAUUUUCAGAUUUGAAUUGAAUCAAUUACUAGUUGUGUGGUUGGAGCUCAAGAGAGAUGAAGAUAAAAAAAAAAAAGGAGUUCUUCUUUUAUCCCUUUUAAGUGAAUAUAUUUAGGUUGGGUUAAUGUGUACCAUAGUCCAUAGGGCACUUUCAUCUUUUCUGUCAUAUGACACCUCUUUACUCAAAUGUCAAAUGGGCUUGCUCAUCAAGCUUUGGUAUUCAUCAUUUGGAUCCUUGAUCACGUGACGCUUGUUGACUAGGCAGCCUUGUUGCCUUAAUUUCCUAUUGUUUUCUUGUUCUCAGGCUGGAAGACAUUAUUUUUUCUUGUUAUCUCUUAGCUUAUUCCAUAUUUGUCCUUCUAAGUGAGCUAAUUUUACCAAAACUAUCAUUUUCCUUGAUUGGCUCAUGUAGGACAGUUGAUGUGUUAUUUUUUCCACCAAUCAUCUUCUUAUUUAUUAUUCUUGUACCACAUGUCAGCUUUCAACUAGUCCAUAAAUAUCCUUCCAAAUUUACCUCCAAACAAAUCUAAUAACCUCUUGAAAACGAAAAAUUAAAAAUUUAUUCAAUCAUUCAAUGUUAAGGAAAUUGGCCAAGUAAUGGAAUGCUAACAAACCAAAUUAAAUUUCUACACUUGCUCUUUUUCUUUGGCCUAUACCAAAUUUCAUCACUUAAUUUUCCUUUAAUUAAAUAAAACAAAUACAUUAUAACUGCUUACUAUUUACAUCUGAAUAGAGCAAUAAAGACUGGUUAUUAAAGACCGGUUAUUAAACGGAUAUGGAUGAAAAUGGUGUUAAAACAUGGCAUAUGGUAGCAAUAAAAAAGGCGCUUGCAGGAUAUAUUCAAGCAAAUUGGUUUGAGUAACCACAAACAAAAAGGCCUCGCAAGUGAUAAGUUCCUCCUUUGCCCACUCAAAUGCAUUACAUAAUGUCGCAGUACAUUUUAUUUAUGCAAAUACGUAUAUAUAUGCAUAUCUUGAUAACUAUUUUAACAUGUGAUCUAAUAUAGAACAUAAUUUAAUAGAGUAUACUCCCUGAAUUUCGCUCUGAAUUUUUUUAUAAUUGAUUUGUUAUAAAUUUGAACGAGGGAUUGCAAUUAUACCUUCUUGAAGUUUAUAGAUGUUUUCAUGCAUGCUCCACGAAAAAUAUUUGAUGUCGUGCUAAUGCUCACUGCAAAGCAUAUACCGUAGGCUAUGCUAUAGCUAUAUAAAAACUUAUACUUGCUUUCUCGAAUGCACACACUUGCACACAAAAUUUUACCAGACGUGGUUUCAAUUUAUUGAACCAUUAGAGGGACACAUCAGUAGUCACCAAAAUGCCACUCUAAAUGGCAAUUCUCGUAAUCAUUUUGCUGUCGCUCUUCAUUCCAGUCCCAAGUACACAGCCCAAACUUCAAUUUUCUCUGGGAAGGUAAUGAAGCGUGGCUCAGUCUCAGUAAUAUGUCUUCCAUAUUCCAUGGAAUGAGCCAAAGGAGUAAUACUUCUAUAGUUAGAAGCAACUAGCAAUCAUAUUGAAGGAAUUUUCUGUAUCAGAUAAAGAAAGAGCAGCAGAGAACAAAGCUGUUAAUCAAUCAACACAUGUACAGCAGUAUUAGUAUUUCUGCCUUAUUGUAGUGCCUAAUUGGGUAUUAGGAUUUCUCCUCAAGAACGUUUACUAAGACAUUCAGCCAAGUAUGAAGUUCAUCAAUAAUCAAUCUUUUCGGUAAAUAAACGAAACAUAUUGAGUGCCAAACUUGCCCAGCCUUUGAAACAGAAUUUCAGAGCAAGCAACAGAACAAAGUCAGAAAAUACAUUCAACUGAACCCAACACCAGAAAGCAUAACAAAUAUUAUUUAUUUUUUGUACACAAUUAACGAACCGCCCCUGAAGCACAAAUCAAUGAACUCUCAACUGAAAAUCCGAAACGAAAGUUCUUAUUUAUGAGUACACAGCGGAAACAAAGACACCAAAAAAAAGUGCACCACCGUAGGAUCAGGAUUUGUAUGUGUAGACAGCAAAAGUGAAGACGGAAAGGAUUCUGGUUGAAAUUGAAGCUCGGGCUGCAGUCAUGAUGUUUUCUGCUCUGAUUUCACCUACACAAGUCAUUAAAGAAAUUAUGAAAAAUAAGAAUUUUAAAUUACAUUUUUUUUCCUUAACUAUUAAAACAAAUGAACGCUGAUGUCUGCUAGGCUCAUGGUUGAAUGUGGAAGAGUACUUAAGUCUCCACUGCUGCUAAAGAGGGCUUGAUGAUUGGGGUGAGUAUCGGAAACUCUAAAGGGUACUUAAUGUUUAGACAAAUUGGAAGAAAACACUUUGUAUAACCAUUUUUAUACUAAAGAGAAGGGGAACAAAAAGUAUAUGCAAUUGGAUAAGUAAUUAAAAUUUGAAGAAAUUGGGUAAAACGAGAAACAUACAUCAAACUCAAUAGGGGCUAAUCAAAUUCCGUAAGGAUAAAGCUGAACGCCAUACUGCUCCUUAUCCUUGAAUUCCCGUAGCUUUUGUCUUAGCUCUGGCUGAGGCCACCAGCAAUCGAACUUGUUUAAGCUCUUUAUGCCCCAGAGCUGUUCAGGCAUCUUUUUCAAGUAAGCACAAGGGUUGAUAAUCAAGCAUUCUAGUUUUGGCAUGGCUCCAAUCCCCAUAGUCCACUCCCCUAGCCAUAGCAUUGAUUUCAGGUGCAAUACCUUGAGAUUUGGAAAACCAUCAGAGCCACAAGUCAGCUUCCUACCUGAAUACGAAUUUUGCUUCAGUUUGAGCACUUGAAGAAGCGGCAGCUUUUCUAGUGUCGGCAUGGGAUCAUCCAUUAGGUCAGUAUUAGAAAAACUCAAGUGGGUUAGACUAUGAGGAAAUAGGUAUUCAGCAAGGACGAUUUUGGAGAGCCGUGGCAUCUUGCUUUCAUUCGCCAGCUUCAAUGACUUGAGAAAGCUCAAUCUGCAGAGACUUUUGGAAAACAAAGAUUGAUUAUAACUUAAAUCUCCCCGUAUUCGGAGAUUUUGAAGAUUAGGUAGCCUGCCCAAUAUAUCUUCAGUACAGCAGCAAGGAUGCAAGGCCGAAAUGAAAUUUAGAUUUUCCAGAGAGCCACAAUAUUUUCCUGGAUGCGCAGGAAGUGUGAUUGACCCAAAAUUUAGAUGCCUGAGUUUGUUCAUCUUCCAAAAUUCAUCUGCUGUAUGAUCUAUGUAGCUAAAGGGCAUGUCUAGGGUGUAGAGGUUUAGAAGAUUGCUUAAUAAUGAGGAAGGCAGGCUUUUGAGGGAAGGGAUAUUCAACUUCAAAUAUCUCAAAAGAAAUAAAUUUUCAAUUUCGGAUGGAUAUUGGUUGAGAACAAGAGAUCCCAAGUCCAAUAUUCUGAGAAGUUUGAACAUUCCACAAAUUUUCUCCCAAUCUAUGGGGUCAAAGUGGCAGCUUUCUGGAGAGCAGCACAAUAAAGAAUGCAGUUGCGAGUCAUAAUCAUCUAAGCAAUCAAAAUCACCCUCUCUUUCAACAGCGUUUAACCGUUUGGCUCUUUUUCCUGAUUCACUAUCGAUGGAAGGGGAAAAGAUGAAUUCCACCUCAGAAGAAACUGUGAACAACACGGGACGCCAACGACCAGGAAUAGAGCAUGUGUUGAUAGUGCCUCCGGCUUUUCUCUUCUUUGCUUCAACAAAGCCUUCCUUGAUAAGUUGUUCCAAGUAACUCUCAGCAGUUGCCUCACUAUUGUCUGGAAUGAAACCUUCAGCUAUCCACAACUGAUAUAACUGCCUGGUGGAUAUCUCUAGGUGUACGGGAAACACAGAUAAGUAGAUAAAACAAGGUUUCAAGCAAAACGGUAACAUGCAACAUUUGAAGUACCGAAGCACAAGGGGUAUCUCCACUGCUUCCCCUAUAUUUUCUUCUAAUGAGAUGCUUCCAUGAUAUAAGAUGAGGAAAGGCCAUCCUUGGUAUGUAGCUCUCAAUGGUCCUCCAGUGGGCACUAAAUCAAGCCGAAUGUUCUCUCCGUCUUCGAGCUGAAAUGAGGUGACCAUCUUAAUUUCAGUGAGUGUUAUUAAUACUCUACUUCUAUUCUGAUUAUCCGGGAGUAUUUCUCGAAUAAUAGCCCAUACUUCAAUGUUCCACACAUCAUCAAUCACAAUCAAAUACUGCUUGGUCAUUAGAUAUUCAUGAAGAAUAAUUUUUUUCAUUUCAUAAUUUUUAUCCUUCAUUUCACUCAACCUAGAUGAAGGCAUCAGAAACUUAAUAAUGAUAUCUAAUAUUUGGUCAGCAUCAUAUUCAUUGCUGUAAGGUUCUGUAAUCCAAGCGUGACAAUCAAAAUAAUGCUUCACAUAACUGCUGUUGUAAGCCUCUCCGGCGAAAGCCGUCUUGUCCAACCCAAUGCUAUCAAGUAUGGCCACCACUGAAAGCUGAGGUGGUCCCUCAAUCAAUAGAUCUAACAACUCCUCCAUUCUAUCAUCUAGACCCACCGUGUCCCUACUUUUAGAAGAUGAAGAUAUACCUGCUUCAGCUUUAAAAGUUUUGAUGCGAUCAAUGAUUUCGGAAUCCAUGUGCUUAAGUUGUUGCAUUCGUUGCUUAAUAUCAGUGAUUCUGCUUUGGAGUCCUUGCAGAGCAUCAAAAAUGUCCUUGCUGCCGCUGCUUUGACUCUUCUGUUGAGUGAUGCUGUUGAUGAAUGUGUCAAUGACCCUCUCAGAUUCAUACGUAAAGCAAUUGAUUUCAUCCAUAACGGUCGCCAGAUCUGGGUUUUCAAUUUCAUCUUCUCCGAUCUUUUCCAACAUAAGCAAGGAAGUUUCAUCUUCAAAUUCACUCAGCCAAGAAGUAACGAUUUCAACCUCCGCAUGAAGGUUGUGAAUAGGUAGUUUUGCAGCAUCAGGCAACGUGACUUCUUCACCAGCUAACACCCUUCUCAGCCUCUCUGAAAAUAGUCUGAAGUUGAUGUCCAUAUCUCCUCCUCUCUCAGAUUCACCCCGAAAUCAGUCCUAUAAAAGGACAUCGUCAAGAAGUUGAAUAUGCUUUAAAGCUCGCAAUUCAAACAUUAGUGCUGGCUCCCAUACCUCCCUUCUCUUAGCUAGUUCUCCAGUCAAGAAGUUGAAUCAAGAUCGUUGACUCUCAAAUUAGAACAGAUCAAGGCAGAAUCUUACAAUAAUCUCGUCUCCCAUAUGAUGAAAAAAGAAUAAAGCAGAGAAAAAUAAACAGGACAUCGUCAAGUAUCGAUCAAGACCAAUUUGUUUUAUACAUCCACUUUUAAGAAAGGAAGGGUAAAAACAAUUCCACUGGGACUAUAAAAGCUUGUCUGAAAAGAAAAGAACGGAGCAAGCACAAGAGCGUUAUCAAUUAUUUAAUAAUUAAGCUGUGGAAAAAUGCCAAAUCAUGUCUGGUGUUAAAUGUUAAAUUUAUUGCGAGACUUGCAUGUAUCUUGCAUGUAUCUAUAUCACAAAUAAAAUUUGUAUCCCAGGGUUAUAAAUGUAAAAUUACUCAAAUAAAUAUGCAUUCUUAAUCAUGUGUGAUGCUGUCUUAUUUCUUCAACCAGAUUUAGAGAAAGUACUAAAUCGUUUGUAAAAUUUUAUAGUUAAUAUAUGUUCAAUUUUCUUUUUAGCAUUCUUUUUUAAGAGAUGAAAAAUGAUAAAGAGUUCUAACAACGGGUGACAAAAAUAAUAGUAAAUUGUGUACUGUUACAAUGUUAAUUGAAAAAUAGUUAUAAUUUUUUAUUUAACAUUAUAAAUAAAAUCUAUAGUUGUUUUCUCACUACUGUAUCAUUUUUUGAUUCAAAUAUCAGUAUUAUAUGAACUCUUUGAAAGGAUUACAUCAUAUGACACUAUUUAUAAUUAUUUUCAUUUGAGCCCUUAGUGUUAAAAAUAUAACAAUCCAUCAAUGAAAUCAAUGAUAAUGGAAUUCUAAGUAGGAAUGGCAGAAAAAUCAAGUCUAGCUAGAGCUAGUUUUCUAAGUAUUCUGGCUGGUCUUGGGCUCCGGCUAAAAAGUCCGAACCCAGCUCGAAAGCCAAAAAAAUACUGAAAAUUUUAAAAAUUGUAUAAUUCCAAGCCUUAAAGACUUCUCCAAAUGUAUGGUACAACAUUGCAUAAUAGGACCAAUCACAUGGAGAUGAUUUGUACAUUAUUGUACACAAUUUUAGUAUGCAUAUCAGAAGAGAGGCAGCAAUCUUAGUUGAUACUUUUAUUUGACAUAUGAUGUAAGAAACGGAACAAAGAUUGUAACGUUACAAAUUUUGCUAUUCAGCAUCCAAAAUAUCACUAGAACUUGCAAUACAAGCUUUAAUCUCUUCAACAACCCGUCGAAUUGCGGCCAGGAACACAAACGCAGAGAUGGGUAUCAAGAUCGCAUUCGAAAUCGACUGACAGGGAUUGUCACAGUUGGCAUUGCUUUUACAAGUGACUGCUUUUGAUUCCGGUUGAGCAUCAACUGCCGGCAUGGAAAUAUCAAACAACACACCUGCAUAUAUAAAUGGCAAUCAAUUAAUUAGCCUAAUGCUAAUAACACGCCUGCAUAUAUAAAUGCCAGCCAAUUAGUUGUCAUAUUAUAGUUAAUUAUGCAUGCAUUAAAAAGAUGAGGAAAAUAAGAUUAAGGAACAAACAUGAGGCUACCAAGAGAGUGAUGAAAAAUGCGGAUUUAAGUUUAAGUUACAUAAUGUUUAUGUAAGCAAAAGUGCAAAACUGAGAGUCUGAGGAUAAUGAUAUUAUUAAAUUUAAUAUGGGUUUGGUUUGUAUAGAUUCAUGAGUUUCUCUAGACAUUAUAUAGGGGGGGGGGGGGGGGGGGGGGGGGAAUUUAAUCCACUUGACAACUAAAAAAUUCAGAAAUCAAACCUCGAUUUGACAAAUUAGAAAUUUAAAAAUUAAAUUUUUUUCCAUAUGCAGGCUCUCGUUUUUCUCUCUAUCACAACGGUAUAAUUGGAAUUAUUGUUAUGACAAUUUGAUUCUCUUUUCUUACAUGUUGCAGGAGUCAUGUCCUCCCGUUGAGGUGACAAAAUGACUAUGGAUUGUGCCCGAGUGGAGUACACCACCAGUAUGAUUAUCUCACUCCCUUUCGAGGUUUUGUUGCAGUAAUUUCUCAUCUUUUAUAGGGUACCCUGCUCUUCAUUGCUUCUGUAAAAGUCUUAUGAGCUAAUUGCUUCCGAAUCUUUAAAUUUCUUCAAUGAGGAACCUUUGUUUGGAAAAUCGAUUUUCAUCUGAUCCGAGAAGGUUGCUUUGAAGCAGAGAGCUUAUGAAAUGCAGCAUGCAAAAUCAUGACUACAAUGCAGUAGACUAAUUGUUAGCUCACUCUAAGCAAAGGCAACGUUCAUAAAAGAUGAAGAAGAGUUUCUAAUAUUUACCAACAUAACUGAUAGCAAGUGCACAGAAUAGAGCUAUCUGAACAUUCAGAAGCAUAAGAACAACCAAUGUAGCUGCAAAGAUGAGAUGUAAUUACUACUGUGAAGUCGACGAAAGAAUUCCACUAUUUAUCAACAGCUAGACUGUAGUAUAAUGGAAAGACCUGCCAAGGAAAGUUUAAAGCAAAACUUAUCCAGAGAAGGCAAGAACAUAAGUAUAGAAGCAGAAGUGCACACAUUCAUAUUUAGGGGUAACGAGAAAUGUAUCAUAAAUCACUUGCUCUAGCACAGUACUAUUUCAUGCUAAUUUUCUUGCUCGUUCUAUGGUUAGGACCCUUUGAGCGGAAAGAAAUCAAAUCACAAUGCUUAUUCUAGCUAGAAACUCCUGAAGUCCAUGCUUGAACCCUGUGUCGAUUGGUCAUAGACUCCAUAUUCUCCUCUCCCAAAAGUAUGACAUUUUUUUCUUCCACUGAUUAAUGGAACUUAAAACUGUUUUGCCACAAUCUUAGUCAUACAAACCCUUUCUCUUUACAUUUCUUAAGGUCAUCAGACCCAAGCCAGAACAUGUUUACUUCCUAGGAGAAAUCUUAAAUAUCUUAAUCAAUACGGAACUGUGUAGUUCAGACAGCAUUCCCUUGGCCAACUAGACGUAAAGAUUUGCAAUGUCCUAGUAAGUCUAUGAGUGGAACUAACAGUGCCCUUCCAAUACGGAAAAACAAUCAUCAAAAACAAUUUUUUUACCCCAUCAACCACAUACAGUAUAAGACUGUAGCAGGUUAUCUCAAUAUCGGCUGCCAUUUUGAUUCAAAGAAGAAAUAUUUGAGAACUCACCACAUUGUGCAAUGCGAACCAGAACCUGCCUAAUCACAGGAUGCCAAUCCCAGUUCCAUUUGUCACUACAGAACUUGAAAAAAUCCCAAAGUGCCAAACUUGAUAUCAACCCAACAAGAGCAAGUGGCAUCUGGUAUCUAUAAGAUGGAGACAGAGACAAUGUCACUAGACAGAUGAUACACAGAAAAAAAAAAAAAUGUAAUACAACUAACACACACAAUACUAUGAUUAAAAAAAUAUCUCCAUCAGUUAAAAACUAAACAAUGGAAAGGCGAGACUCUAUGAACUAAUGCCCUGAACCAGCACAAAUACCAAUUCUCCUGGAGUAUUUUAAGUAUUCAUAUAGUUGUUUCAAAGCACAGGAAAAAAAACAAACAACGCAAAAUUGCAAACUCAUAGUGUUGUUAUUUAUCAAUUGGAACCCAGAAAAAAAUAGCUGUAAUUUAAUUAUUCAUUUAAGCAGAUUGAAACCCUUACAAACACAGGUAAGCAAAUCAAAAUUAUCAUUAAAAAUCCAAUCAAGGCCACAUAAAUCUAAUCACAUCCAAAAGCAUCCCAAAAUCUCGUUCAAUAUUCAUACAACCACAUACAAAAACCAUUCAAAAAUUUAAUUUUUUUUAACUCAAAAUAAUAACUCAGAAAAGGAAACAAAAUUCUUACAGAGAGCAAGCAAAGAAGAGGAUGAACAAAGAAGCAUAAUUCCUGGCAUAACGUUUAACAUUCUCAUGAACUCUCAACUUAAGGGUGUGUGGGGAAGAUGGAAACGAGAAAGACCCAAGAGCCCCAAUAAACUCACGGGUCCAAGACGGGGUGUUGGCUGAGAAAUCAUCAGUGGUGAGUUUAGCAAAAGGGUUGGCGGUAAGAAGAGAGAUAAAGGUGUAUAAAUAAUGUAAAAGGCUGUGAGUUAAGGUCGUGGCUGUGGCUGUUUCUUUGGUGGAGGCUGUUGUGACGGCGGUGGCCGACGUGGUGGUGGCGGUGUCGAGGAUUUCGAGGUAGCCGGACUCGCGUAGCCAUGACUCGAAUGCUGGGUCGGGUACGUUUAGAGAUAACGGGUUGGAUGCGAAUACCUUCCCCAUUACAAAAAGCUAUCCAAUUUCGGUUGAAUGAGGGUCACUAAAUUAUCAAAAUAUUAAUAACUAAUUUUUAACAAAAUUCAUAUGAUAUGAUAUGAUGAUAUAGGCCUUGGUUAGUGGUUUUCUAAACAAUUUAUUAUUAUUAUUAUUCUCUUAAUCACUCCAAGUUUAAAUUUGGAAGAUGUAGGGGAUAGAAAUAAAUUAUAUUAGGAUUUGUCGAUUUGUCAAUAAAAACUUCAGUAUUAUAUGCUUAAUUUUUUUAAAGAAUUUUCUUUGAGUAUUGUUUUGAGUAAAUAAUUGUAAUUAAUUUAACAUGCUUAAGGACUUUUAGUAUUUUAAAGACCAUACAAAGUAUAACUUAAUUUUUUAAGUUUAAUAGAUGAGUGUGUAGAACAAUAAAGUAUUUAAAGUAAUUAUUAGAGGAUAAAUAGGCAUAUCCAAUACUCUUUUUUUUUUUUGAAAACAAAGUAAACCUUUCAUAAAUCACAACACCUCAAAUACAACUUGAAUCUUGGCUGGAAUAGUUCCUAGCCACAUAGAAGAAGAAUUUCUUCCCAAAGCUAACUUAGCUAGGGAGUUGGCAUAAGCAUUACAUUGUCUUAGAAUGUGAUGAACAAUAACUUUUUGAAAACCUUUCAACUGAUUUCGGAUCUCCAGAAUUGUCCAAAAAAAUUCUGUUUUGCUGCCCUUGGUAUUGUUUACAAGUUGAACCACCUCUAAGCAAUCUGACUUAAUGAUCAAGGAGGUUAAAUCUGCUUCUUUUGCCAACUGAAGCCCCCAUUGCACAGUCUCUGCCUCAACCAAACUGACUGGUCCCUUAAGAUGAAUCUGAUUAAUACCGGCUGCAAUUAUCUUUCCAUUAGAAUCUCUAAUCACUGCUCCCACGCCUGCAAUCUGAUUCUUAGUAUUAAUGGCAACAUCCACAUUAAUUUUGAAAAUAUUUUCAGGGGGAGGGAACCACUUUUGUUGUUUCUCUCCUCUGGGGUGGGCAAUAUGAGAAGGCUUUUUCUUUCUUACUCUUUGAAAAGCUGAGCCUUUACAACAUGAGCAGGGAGGGGACUCCACUUUUGAUGCAUCAUAGAUAGUUUCUUCUCUGCAAAAACUUUGCCCAAAUUUCUUAAGUUUCUUAAAGGCAUCCAUCAGAUCUGCCUUUGCAACACUUUCCACAAAGUAGAAACUUUUCUUCUCAAAAUUCUGCAUCAUAAAAUACAAAACCAAGCAAAAUCAAAUGAACCCCAGAUUUGUAAAUCUGGGUAGACAAACAAUAAUAAACCACCACAAAUCUCUAGAUCUGAGUGGAAGAACAUACCACCACAAAUUUGAAAAUAUGAGUGGAAGAACAAAACCACCACAGAUAUGAGGAUCUGAGUGGAGAAAAUAAGUAAAGAAAAUAAAAAAGGAAUGAAAAAAGAAGGUUUCGCCGGAAAACGAACUCAUAGAGCUGAUUUUCCGACGAAAGAAGAAGGUGAAAUGUUAUUGGAUGUUCAGAGCCUUUUUUUUCUGGAAAGGCAUAUCCAAUACUUUAACUUAUGGUUGGUUGUUUUUUUCACAUAAUUUUCUGAUUUGAAUUGAAUCAAUUACAAGUUGUGACUCGAGCUCAAGAGAGUUGAAGAGAAAGAAAAAGAAAAAUGGAGUCCUUCUCUUGUCCCUUUUAAGUGAAUAUAUUUAGGUUGGGUACCGCAGGGUAGUUGAUGAGCAUAAUUUAUAUACAUAUUUUACCCUUAAUUAUAUAAUUACUAGCUAUUUUCAUUGGUCAUUUUUAAUUAAUUGAAUUAUUUUAUUGAAUAGGGAAUUAAUUGGGGAUUAUGGAUGAAAAGUGGAUAAAGAAUAACAAUUGGACAACAUUAAAAAUCAAGUCAAUUUGUGGAAGCAGUUAAGCAAAUGUGUAUGAAAUUCAAUCCGAAGAAGCCGAAGCCAAUAAAUUGAAUUCUCCAUGCUAGUGCAAACAAAGAAUAAAUUUAAAGCUAAAGUGGCCUGCACGUGAGAAGCAAUUGCAUGGCAUUAAAAAAAGAAUGAAAAAUCCAAGUGGGCUUCACGUGCAUGGGCUCAAAGUCAGUUGUGCUUUGCUUGUUUUAAAACCUUUUGAUUUGAGCAAAGUAAACACUGAUGCAGCCAUUUGCUUUGAAAAGAACAUUGUAGGGCUGGGGGCAGUAAUCAAAAAUGUUUUGGGGCAUGUUACAGCAGCUGCUAUCAAGGUUGCUAAGUUUCGUGGAGAUGUUUCUUAUGCAGAAGCAGAAGCCAUGGAAUGGGGUAUGUUAGUGGCGCGAGAGGCCAACAUGAAAGCUGUCAUUAUGGAAUCAGAUUCUCAAGGUGUGGUCAAUUUAGUUAACAACAAGCAGGGCAGCAGAUCAGAGAUCUAUUGGGUUGUGUCAGAAAUUCAGAAACUAGCGGAAAGCUUCGAACGUGUUAGCUUUAAAUACACGACUAGAUCUUGAAAUGUUAUUGCCCACUCUUUAGCUAAACUAGCUUUAGAGAAGUGCGAGAAUGUUGUGUGGAAAGGGUCAUACCCUUCACAAGUGAUGUAUCUCUUUUCCACUUUAGUUUAAUGGAAAUCUCUUUUCAAAAAAAAAAAAAAAAAAAAAAAAAACCUUUUAAUUUGAGGAUUUUGGAGGGUGUUACAAUAUAAAAGUCGUGUUAACAUAAAUAUGUUAAUAAUAUUGAUUUUGAUGCUAACAAAUUUUAAAUGAUUUUUUGAUAAAAGUAUUGGAGCUAUUUCUUAAUAAACGAGAGCCUUAGUAAUCAUUCCAUUCAUGCUUCAUAAAAGAUGGACUUUAAAAUUAGAAAAAGAUUCUCUGCAAAAACUAGUUUAAAAUGCAAUUCUGGUUAUAAACGGUUCACCGUUUAUUUAAACGGUUAACCGAUAACAGCCAGAGAGCAACGUAUUUCCUAAACCUCUAACCGUUUAUGAAAAACGGAAAACACAAAAGAUGGGAAGGUUACUGGAACUUAACGGUGAACCGUUUAUUUUAAACGGUUAACCGAUUAGAACCAGAGAGCAACAUAUUACCUAAGCUCUAACCGUUUAUGCUUAACAGAAAACACCCAAGAUGGGAAGGCUACUGGAACCUAACGGUGAACCGUUUAUUUUAAACGGUUAACCGAUAACGUCCAAAAUUGAAGGUUGUCCUCCUCUGGCACUGAUUAACGAAAACUGAUAAGGCUAAAUUUGUUUUGCAGGUUACUGGAGACAAACGGCGAACCGUUUAUAUCAAACGGUUAACCAAUAAUUUCCAGAGAAGCCACUUCACGCAAGUCCUUAACCGUUUAGCGUAAACGGAUAACAAAUACUCAUUUUGCAGGUCUCUGGAAGUUAACGGCGAAAGGGCAACCCUAAACGGCAAACCGUUUAUUUGAAAUCUGGCCCAACGGUAACUUUGACCAGCCUAAACGGUUAACCGUUUAUGGUUAACGGCGAACCGUUUUCUGUCCGACAGUUUGUAACGGCUAGAUUUUCGGCUCCAAAUAUAAAUAAGCUCAUUCAAAUUCAAAGAUGAUUGAUCACAACACGACCAUUUGAGCUAAUAUUCGAGAAUACAAUCUUCAUAGAGCUUAGAACAUAUUCUUGCUUCAUCUAUUCACAUAUUAAGCAUCAUUGUGUAAUCUUAUAUAUUGUGAGAGGCAAAACAAUUUAUAAUCUUUUAUUUUGAGUGAUUGUAAGUGUUGGGAUACACUUGGGUUAAGAGAUUGGGGAUAAUCUCUUGUUGUAAAGGUUCAUUGACACCUUGGAAGUCAAGUGUAAGCAUUUGAAGCCUUGGAGGCUUGCUUAGUGGAAUCCUCAAGCCCGGAAAGCUUGGAGGCGUGGACGUAGGCGAGGUUGGCCGAACCACGUAAAAAUCUCGGUGUUUGAAUCCCUCUUCCCUUAUCUUUUUAUAUUGUGAUUCUCUUAAUUGUUAUUGCUUUGAAUUUGAUUUAUAAUUGCAUUAAGAUUUUCUUUAAUAAAUUGAAUAAUUUUUUAGAAUCCCAAUUCACCCCCCCUCUUGGGUUGCAUACUUGUAUUUCAAUUGGUAUCAGAGCCUCGUUCUCUUGUUAAGACUUAAUCGUCUAGAGUAAAAGAUCCAUGGCAACCCUAAAUGACUCAACCUUUAGAGAAGGGCAAUCCACAACUAGACCACCAUUUUUCGAUGGUAAUGACUAUGCUUAUUGGAAAACUAGAAUGAGAAUUUAUUUGCAAGCCUUAGAUUAUGAAAUUUGGGAAGUUGUUUGUGAUGGUCCAUUCAUGCCUACGUUCAAAGAUGAAGUAGGAGAUGAUAUUCCUAAACCAUCGAGUCAAUGGAGUGAGUUAGAAAAGAGAAAGAUGUCUCUAAACUCCAAGGCUAUGAAUGCUUUGUUUUGUGCCCUUGAUAAGAAAGAAUUCCAUAGAGUAUCUAGUUGUGAAAGUGCACAAGAGAUAUGGAACAAACUUGAAGUUGUCUAUGAAGGGACAAAUCAAGUGAAAGAGUCUAAAAUCAGUAGAUACACUCGUCAAUAUGAGUUGUUCCAAAUGGAACAAAAUAAAAAUGUGUAUUCUAUGUAUACUAGAUUCACGGACAUAGUGAACACCCUAGGUGCCUUAGGGAAAACCUUCUCAAAUAGUGAGAAAGUUAAGAAAAUCAUUAGGUCUCUUCCAAAAGAAUGGAGACCCAAAAGAACCGCUAUUGAAGAGGCCAAAGAUUUAAAUACUUUACCUCUUGAUGAUUUAAUUGGUUCUCUUAUUUCGUAUGAAGAGGAUUUAGCUGCAGAAAGAGGACAUGAGGAGAAGAAGAAAAGCAUUGCUCUCAAAGCUUCAAAAUAUGAGAGUGAUGAGGAGAGUGAACCGGAUGAUGAAGAACUAGCCAUGCUAGCAAGGAGGUUCAGAAAAUUCUUCAAGAAAACCGGAGAGCGAAGAAAUUUCAGAAACUUCAAGAACUAUAGGGAGAAGAAGGAGGCAAUCACUUGCUAUGAAUGCAAGAAGCCUGGACAUAUAAGAUCGGAGUGCCCACUUAUCAACAAACUCAAGAAGAAAGCAAUGGUUGCAACUUAGGAUGAUAGUGAGGAAGAAUCAAAUGAUGAAGAAGGAUCGCAAGAAGUAUCAAACCUAGCACUCAUGGCAAUAGGAGGAGAUGAUGAUCUCAAUGAGGUAAGUGAUCCUACCUAUGAUGAAUUAUAUGAUGCUUGUCAAGAUUUGCAUAAUGAGUUAAUGAAAAUUGGUAAAAAGAAUGUAUGUCUUAAAAAGAAAAUGGCAAAACUUAAAAAUGAAAAUGAAUCUCUAAAUGCAAGAAUUGUAUGCCUAGAAGUAGGAAACAAAACAUUGCAUGAUGAAAUUGCAUUAUCAAAUGAGAAACCUAGCAUCUUACAUGAGCAUUUGAAAUCACACAUAGAUGAGUUGAAAAAUGAGAACGAAUUGCUCAAGAAAAAGAAUAAUGAAUUAAAUGAAAUUGUUUUGAAAUUUACAAAUGGGCAAAAGAUGUUGGAUAAUAUGCUUAACUCACAAAAAUGUGUUUUUGAUAAAGGAGGACUUGGAUAUAAGCCAAAUUUGAAGCAAAAGUAUUAUAAGAAUUAUUUUGUUAAAGCUACCUCCCCAAAUGAUCAUAAGAUUGUAUGUCAUUAUUGUAAUCAAAAUGGUCACAUGAAAUUUAAAUGUCCCGUGAAAAGGAAUGCAUAUUAUGGUGUCAAGUGCAUUUGGGUUCCAAAAGGAACCGUUGCUAACUCUCAAGGACCCAAAAAGCUUUGGGUACCUAAAACUUGAGACUUUUUCUUGUAGGGCUUGAAGAAGAAGAAGAAUAAAUGGUACUUGGACAACGGUUGUUCAAGGCACAUGACCGGAAACUAUGCAUGGUUCUCAAACUUUUCCAAAAUUGAAAAUGGUGGAGACGUAUCCUUUGGAGACAACUCAAAAGGAAAAAUUCUUGGAAUUGGAAAUGUUGGUAAAGUUUCUUCAACUCUAAUUGAGAAUGUAUGUUUGGUUGAAAACUUGAAACACAACUUAAUUAGCAUUAGUCAAUUAUGUGACAAAGGUUAUAAAGUUAUCUUUGAUAAAUUUAGUUGUGUUAUUGAGAACUCAUGUGAUGGCAAAACCUUAUUUGUUGGAAAUAGAUGUGGUAAUGUUUAUAUCAUUGACAUAAAAUGUGCAUCUACUCUUGAUAAAUGUUUUUCGGCAUUGCAUGAUGAUUGUUGGUUGUGGCAUAGAAGGUUAGGAGAUGCAAGUAUGGAUUUGAUUUCAAAAAUUUCGAAAGAUGAUUUAGUUAAAGGUCUUCCGAAAAUUGGUUUUCAAAAGGAUAAGAUUUGUGAAGCUUGUCAAUUUGGAAAACAAAUUAAAACUUCUUUCAAGAAUAAAAACCAUAUUUCUACUUCAAAACCACUUGAACUUCUUCACAUAGAUCUUUUUGGGUCAUCUAGAUAUGCAAGUCUAAAUGGCAAAUAUUAUGCUUUUGUGAUAGUGGAUGAUUAUUCUAGAUAUACAUGGGUAUUAUUCUUAGCCAAUAAGGAUGAUGCUCUUGAUGCAUUUAAAGUGCUUUGUAAGAAAUUACAAAAUGAAAAAGGGCAUGGUAUUGUAUGCAUUAGGAGUGAUCAUGGAGGAGAAUUUGAAAAUCAUGCAUUUGAGAGUUUUUGCAAUAAUCUAGGCAUUGAGCAUCAAUUUUCUUCACCUAGAACUCCACAACAAAAUGGAGUUGUUGAGAGAAAGAAUAGGUCUAUUCAAGAAAUGGCUAGGACCAUGUUAAAUGAAAAUGCAUUACCAAAAUAUUUUUGGGCCGAAGCCGUCAACACCGCUUGUUAUGUUUUAAAUCGGGUGUUGAUUAGACCUAAUCUUAAUAAAACUCCAUAUGAGCUUUGGAAAGAUAGAAAACCCAACAUUGGCUAUUUUAAAGUUUUUGGAUGCAAAUGUUUUGUUCUGAACACAAAAGACAAUCUUGGUAAAUUUGAUUCAAAAUUCGAUGUUGGUAUUUUUCUUGGUUAUUCAAAUUCAAGCAAAGCUUAUAGAGUUUAUAACACAAGAACUUUAGUUGUGGAAGAAUCUAUGCAUGUCACAUUUGAUGAGUCUAACCCCUCCUCUACGAAGAAAGUCGUUGUUGAUGAUGAUGUAGGAGAAGAAGAACAAGAAGAAGAAGCAUCAAAUGACAAUCAAGAGGAUGCACUACAUGGAAUUCAAGAGGAACAUCAUGAAGAAUCAAUGUGGAGCAAAAUGAAGGUACUUCUCAUACACUCCCCAAGGAGUGGAGGUAUGUCUCUUCUCACCCUAAAGAUGUAAUUUUAGGAGAUCCCUCAUGAGGUAUAACAACUAGAUCAUCACUUAGAAAUACUUGUGAGCAUAAUGCAUUCAUCUCUCAAAUUGAACCAAAAUCCUUUGAGGAUGCAGAAAAUGAUGAAUUUUGGAUUAUGGCAAUGCAAGAGGAGUUAAAUCAAUUUGAAAGAAACAAUGUGUGGGAACUAGUUCCUAAACCUGAACAUCAAUCUAUAAUAGGUACUAAAUGGGUGUUUAGAAAUAAGAUGGAUGAAUCCGGUGUGGUUGUAAGAAACAAAGCUAGAUUAGUGGCUCAAGGUUACAACCAAGAGGAAGGAAUUGAUUUUGAUGAAACCUUUGCACCUGUAGCAAGGUUAGAAUCCAUUAGGAUGUUGUUAGCAUAUGCAUGUCAUAAGGAUUUUAUUUUAUAUCAAAUGGAUGUCAAGAGUGCUUUCUUGAAUGGAUAUAUUUUGGAGGAAGUUUAUGUGAAACAACCUCCUGGUUUUGAAAAUGAAAAAUUUCCAAAUCAUGUGUAUAAGUUGCUCAAAGCCUUGUAUGGAUUAAAACAAGCACCUAGAGCAUGGUAUGAUAGACUUAAAAAUUUCUUGCUAGAAAAUGACUUCUCUAUGGGUAAAGCGGAUACUACUCUUUUUGUUAAGCAUAAGAACCAAGACAUACUUAUUGUUCAAAUUUAUGUUGAUGAUAUCAUUUUUGGUUCUACUAAUGAGUUGUUGUGUAAAGAAUUUUCAUUGUGUAUGAGCAAAGAAUUUGAGAUGAGUAUGAUGGGAGAGUUGAAAUACUUCCUUGGACUUCAAAUCAAACAAAGCGGGGAAGGAAUUUUCAUAAAUCAAGCCAAGUACGUAAAGGAUCUACUCAAACGAUUCGGCAUUGAUGAUUCAAAGACCAAGAAUACACCAAUGAGCACAACAACCAAGCUGGACAAAGAUGAAAAAGGUAAAGAAGUGGAUAUCAAAAUGUAUCGAGGUAUGAUCGGAUCCCUACUCUAUUUGACUGCAAGUAGACCCGAUAUCAUGUUUAGUGUAUGUUUGUGUGCAAGAUUUCAGUCUUGUCCCAAGGAAUCUCAUUUGCUCGCUGUUAAAAGAAUUUUCCGUUAUUUGAGUGGAACCAUAGAUAUUGGCCUUUGGUAUCCUAGGGGAACUCAUAUAGAUUUAACAUGUUUUUCGGAUGCGGAUUUUGCUAGUUAUAAAGUGGAUAGGAAGAGCACUAGUGGAACUUGCUAUAUUCUAAGACACUCUCUUGUUUCAUGGUUUAGCAAGAAACAAAAUUCUGUUGCACUUUCAACUACUGAGGCUGAAUAUAUAGCUGCCGGAAGUUGUUGUGCACAAGCACUUUGGAUGAAACAAACACUUAGAGAUUAUGGCAUUAAUCUUGAACAAAUUCCUAUUAAGUGUGAUAAUACUAGUGCUAUAAACCUUUCAAAGAAUCCCAUUCAACAUUCUCGAACCAAGCAUAUAGAAAUAAGACAUCAUUUCUUGAGAGAUCAUGUUCAAAAGGGAGAUAUUGCAUUAGAGUUUAUUUCCACGGAAAAACAACUUGCCGAUAUUUUCACAAAACCGCUUUGCGAAGAACAAUUUUCAAAAAUUCGGCAUGAACUUGGGAUGAUGAAAUUUUUGCAUUAACAUCUCUAUUCAUGCUAUUGAGUGUACUGAAUUGAUUGAUUACUAUUUAUGAAAUGCUUGAGCUUGGUAGACAAAUGAUGAAUUUGCAUUAAUAACUCUUGAUUAUAUGAAUUGAUUGGUUGAAAACAUGUCCAUGAAUCAUGCAUUAAACUGGCUCAUAAAAUAUUUUCAGAUCAAUUAAAUGAUCUUGGAAUAUAUUAUUUGCUGGCCAAAAAUUAAAUCAAAUGUGCGAAAUUACAGAUUGAAUAAACGGUUAGCCGUUUCCUAUAAACGGAUCACCGUUUAAUUCCAGAAACGAGAUUAUGUGUCUGCCCGUUUACCCUUUCACCGUUUUCCACAAUCGGUGAACCGUUUUUCAACAGAGAGUCCUCUAACAGUUACUCCUUAGUCGUUAAGCGCUUAGGCUUUCACCGUUUCCCUUUCUUCAGCCUCUGGACGUUACCCUUUCACCGUUUCAAUAAACGGUUAACCGUUUUCGCGAAGUAUAUAAACUGUUUAAAGGUUUUCUUCUCCUUCUCCAGUUACCCUCUCACCGUUUCCUCCAUUGUUGCGCAGCCGAAGGUCUCUUUGUCCUCAAAUCCUCAUUUUUCUUGAUUUCCGUGCCAAAUCAAAUCCUCAAAAUCAUUUCUUAUCACCUUUAGAACAUUUCUACCGAUUCAAAACUUCAAAUCGAACCCAAAAUUCAAAAAUCCCAAAUCUAAACCCUAACUGUCGCGAGUCGGGUUUCUCUGUCCUUAAUCUGAUUUCCACCUUUCUUCAACCAAAUUAAACAUCCUACUCACAUCUUCUACUCCUCAUUACGUGUUUCCAUGGCUGAACCUCCUCGGAGAAAUCUCAGACGUAAAUCUGUGCCUCCAAGGAAUCCCAUACCACCUCGGGACGUCUCGGAAUUUGCAAGGAUUCACUUCCCCACUCCUUCCUUGGCCAAGCGAUUCGAAGAACGCUUCAAUGGUCGAAAGGUACUUGACUCCUUCUUUGUUGACAUUGAUGAUUUCCAUAAUUUGGUUGUAUGUGGUAGAAGCAUUUGGGAUAUGCUUCGGCCUUGGGAGUCUGGCAUUGAUUUUGAUGACCGAGUUUAUCCAAACUUAGUGCGAGUCUUUUAUUCGAACAUGGAAAUCUCCAAUACUCGUCCAAAUAGGAUAGUCACUCAAGUCGGCCGUGUACCCAUAGAAUUUGAUGAUGCGGACUUAGCUGACUUUCUAGGUAUCUCUUGUGAGGGGAUUGACAUCUACACUUCUAGGAAAACCCUCUCCUUUGAUACUUUUUCUCAUACUCACGGCGUCCGUAAUAUAUGUCGUCGUCGAGACUUAUCGGAUGAUAUCUGUCAGCUUCCAUUUCGGUCUCAACUUUUACCGCUCCAAGUUCGUAUUCUUCACUCUAUUCUACAGCACAUAGUGACUCAUAGGAAGGGUCACUCGGAUGAGGUUACGAGGUUAGACGUCGCCUUAUUGGAUAGCCUUAUUACAGACCGUCCCAUUAACCUCGGGUAUAUUAUUGUGCGACAUAUGCUGAGUACUCCAGUGGUCAACCACCGCUUGUUUCCCUACGGCAGUAUCAUCACUAAAAUACUGCGACGCUUUGAGGUGCCACUUCUUGAUACUGGACAUAUGGAGACUCGACGGAUUGGUUCCGAGGCAGUAACCAGUAUCGGAUUCUCUAGAAAGAAUGGAGUGUGGAUAAAGACAAGCAACUCCAAAAACCGGGAUACCUUGAUUGCUCCAGAGGACGAUCGGAUGCUCAAUGAUGUCUAUCGUCCCGACCAGCUUCCUGACUUUAGACUAGGCGCUCAUCCUCAUCCUCCGCGUCGCCGUUUUGUUCCUCAGCCUCCAGCUGACUCAGACUCUGAGGAGCGUGCGAUGGAUGCUGAUAUUCCCUCCUCUUCCGAGCCGCCUACUGCUCCUGAGCCUUCUGCUGUUCCCGAGCAGCCAUCUGCCUCUAUGCCGCCUCCAGCUCCAGUUCAGCCCCCUGCUUCAGACGCAGUGCAGCAGCUGAUCUCUGAUGUUCAGCGGAUUUCGGAGCGCCAGCAGCUAAUUCUUGAUCGGUUGGACACUCUUUCCCGUGACCACCAGCAGCUGCGUUCUGACUUUCAGAUAUUCCAGCGGCAGAGCCUUGAUUAGCAGAUGGAGCUUAUCGCUGGACAGCGCACUAUUCUCGGCUAUUUCGGCUAUGAUCCAAGGAGCACAUCUUCUCCGCCUCCGUAGUUUCUGAGCUUUGUCUUCGCAUAUACAUUUUACAUUCUGGUUGCUAGCAUUUUUAUUAUUAUUUUGAUUUUGAUGCAUAUGUGUGUGAUGUUCUUGAUGAUUAGCUUAUUGAUGCUUUGUGAUUGCCUAAUUGGUUGGAUAUUGUAGAAAUGGUUUAUUUGUGGAUAUUGGAGUGUUGGUAUAUUUGUGGAUAUUGAAGUGUUAUUUUAUCUUGUUCAUGGAGUUGUUGGCUUGUUGAACGCAGAAGUUAAUGUUGAUCUAAUUUUGGAAGUGUUUUAUCUCAUUUUGUAUUUAUGGUUUUACUCAUUUUUAAGGGGAAACUCUGCCAAAAUUUUUUUUUUUUUGCUUGCCAAAACCGGGCACUUUCUUUCAUGAAUUUGCGUAUUUCUUAUUUCCUCUUUCCUUUUGAUGAUGAAGGGGGAGAUAAUUAAAGUUUUUAAGAUGGUUUUUAAGUUUUUAAGAUUUUUUUUUAAAUUUUAAAUGGGGAGAUAUUUGUUUUUAAGAUGGAUUUAAAAUGGGGCAAUUUAUUCACAUUUCUCAAUUUGGCCAUACAUUUAGGGGGAGCACAUAUUAAGGGGGAGCUAAACAUUGAUUAGAAUUUGUCAUCAUCAAAAAGGGGGAGAUUGUUAACAUAAAUAUGUUAAUAAUAUUGAUUUUGAUGCUAACAAAUUUUAAAUGAUUUUUUGAUAAAAGUAUUGGAGCUAUUUCUUAAUAAACGAGAGCCUUAGUAAUCAUUCCAUUCAUGCUUCAUAAAAGAUGGACUUUAAAAUUAGAAAAAGAUUCUCUGCAAAAACUAGUUUAAAAUGCAAUUCUGGUUAUAAACGGUUCACCGUUUAUUUAAACGGUUAACCGAUAACAGCCAGAGAGCAACGUAUUUCCUAAACCUCUAACCGUUUAUGAAAAACGGAAAACACAAAAGAUGGGAAGGUUACUGGAACUUAACGGUGAACCGUUUAUUUUAAACGGUUAACCGAUUAGAACCAGAGAGCAACAUAUUACCUAAGCUCUAACCGUUUAUGCUUAACAGAAAACACCCAAGAUGGGAAGGCUACUGGAACCUAACGGUGAACCGUUUAUUUUAAACGGUUAACCGAUAACGUCCAAAAUUGAAGGUUGUCCUCCUCUGGCACUGAUUAACGAAAACUGAUAAGGCUAAAUUUGUUUUGCAGGUUACUGGAGACAAACGGCGAACCGUUUAUAUCAAACGGUUAACCAAUAAUUUCCAGAGAAGCCACUUCACGCAAGUCCUUAACCGUUUAGCGUAAACGGAUAACAAAUACUCAUUUUGCAGGUCUCUGGAAGUUAACGGCGAAAGGGCAACCCUAAACGGCAAACCGUUUAUUUGAAAUCUGGCCCAACGGUAACUUUGACCAGCCUAAACGGUUAACCGUUUAUGGUUAACGGCGAACCGUUUUCUGUCCGACAGUUUGUAACGGCUAGAUUUUCGGCUCCAAAUAUAAAUAAGCUCAUUCAAAUUCAAAGAUGAUUGAUCACAACACGACCAUUUGAGCUAAUAUUCGAGAAUACAAUCUUCAUAGAGCUUAGAACAUAUUCUUGCUUCAUCUAUUCACAUAUUAAGCAUCAUUGUGUAAUCUUAUAUAUUGUGAGAGGCAAAACAAUUUAUAAUCUUUUAUUUUGAGUGAUUGUAAGUGUUGGGAUACACUUGGGUUAAGAGAUUGGGGAUAAUCUCUUGUUGUAAAGGUUCAUUGACAUCUUGGAAGUCAAGUGUAAGCAUUUGAAGCCUUGGAGGCUUGCUUAGUGGAAUCCUCAGGCCUGGAAAGCUUGGAGGCGUGGACGUAGGCGAGGUUGGCCGAACCACGUAAAAAUCUCGGUGUUUGAAUCCCUCUUCCCUUAUCUUUUUAUAUUGUGAUUCUCUUAAUUGUUAUUGCUUUGAAUUUGAUUUAUAAUUGCAUUAAGAUUUUCUUUAAUAAAUUGAAUAAUUUUUUAGAAUCCCAAUUCACCCCCCCUCUUGGGUUGCAUACUUGUAUUUCAAGUCGAACUUUGGCUUUUGCAAGAAGGAGGAGCCGCCAGAGGAGGGAAACGCGAGACAAAGAGAAGAAAAUCUGAAGUGGUUCGACUUCCAUGGCUGGUUUUAUCUCUUUUGUUACUCUUAAUUCAAGUAUGUCUAGCUAAUUUUCUUAUACUGAGGUUAAGGAUGAAACUCUAUUCAAUGAAAUAAUUAUCUUUUUAUUUAUUUAAUUCCCUAUAUAUGUUCUUUAAUGAUUAUGAUUUUUAUUUUACAUAAUUAAUUGGAUGUUAUUAAAAUCUUUUCAUCAAUUUUGUCAUGCAUUAUUGAUUGUUGGGAUUAAUAUUCGAUUAAAUCUAUGCUUGGAUUUAUAAAGUUUAUACAUGAUUAUCUUUGAUUAUAUGUCUUUCAUUAAAUUGUUUACAUGGAGUGCUUAGGAAACUUUGACUAUUUGUUAUUCAAUAUGUUCACAUGGGAUACUUAGAUGUCAUACUAUUAAGCGGAAAAAGAACCUAUAUUAGAUUUAAUUAUUUGGGCUUAAUUGUUAUAUCCAUGAGAUGACAUAUAUUGAUUUCGAGUUAUCACUCUAAAAUUGGGGAUUAAUGAAUAUUUAGAUAAUUACUAGUUGAAUAGUGGUGGAUUCUGAAACCUUGGUAAUUUCUAUCCUAUUGAAUUCUCCUUUUCUUUAAUUGUUUUCUUAGUUUAAUUAGUUUAAUUUCUCUUAAAACUCAAUUUGCUCAACUAGGCUAGAAUUAAUAUUAAUUUUAUAUUUAAAUUAGACUUUUCAAUUUAUAACAAUCCAUGUGGGAUCGACCUCGUUAUCACUAUUUUAUUUCUAGAUUCGUGCGCUUGCGAGUUUAUUAAAAUUUUCACAACAUUAGUUUAAUCUUUUCUACUGCAUGGCACCUCUUUACUCAAAUAUCAAAUGAGCUUGCUCUUCACGUGACGCUAAAUUUACCAAACUUUAUUUUUUUCCUUAAUUGGCUCGUGUAGGACAGUCGAGGUGUCAUUUUUUUUUUUUUCACCGUUCAACUUCUUAUUUAUUAUUCUUAUACCGCAUGUCAGCUUUCAAUUAGUCCAAAAAUAUCCUUCAAAUUUUACCUCCAAACAAAUCUAAUAACCUCUUGAAAACAAAAAAUUAAAAAUUUAUUCAAUCAUUCAAUGUUAAGGAAAUUGGCCAAGUAAUGGAAUGCUAACAAACCGAAUUAAAUUUCCACAUUUAUUUUUUUUUCUCAUGCAUGCUCUACUAAAAAUAUUUGAUGUCGUGCUAAUGCUCACUGCAAAGUAUAUAUUAGAUGCUCGCGCAUAUACCGUAGGCUAUAGCUAUACAAAAACUUAUACUUGCGUUCUCGAAUGCACACACUUGCACGCAAAAUUCUAUUAUUGAGAGUCGCUGCUUUCUAUAACACGGCCUUUUUCUAGCCUUUCAUUAGACGUGGUUUCAAUUUAUUGAACCAUUAGAGGGACACAUCAGUAGUCACAAAAAUGCCCCUCUGUAGAACCUGAAGGGAACUUCAGUAGCUCAAACACCUUCAGCCUCUGCCCAAGAUUCAAGAUCAGAUUCCUAGAUGCUUGACUAUAGAUGACUUGAAAAAUGUUUAACCAAGAACUUCAAGUGAACAGAACAAUCAAUGGUUUAAGAAUCAAAGAAUCGAAAAAAAACUAAAGAAUAAAGAACAGAGGAGAUUUAACGUGGUUCAGCUAAAACACUUAGCUUACAUCCACGGAGGAACAAGACUUCAGGCUUUUAUUGAAUGAACUCAAGAUUACAGAGAAUUACAGAUUGUAUCUCAUGGAAAUUACUACCUAUUAAACCCAGGAGUAACCCCCUUUUUAUACUCAUAAAUUGUAGCCAGCUAUCUGCACCAGAAUCAGCUCCUUUUCAGUUGCUGAUAACUUCCUGGAAACUAAUCCAGAUGCUCACGUGCAAGCCAUGCUUCAUUAACGACUUUAACGGCUUCUUUCAUUCGAAUCCAUUCACGUGAGUCUCAGGUGUUUCACUUAAGUCAAACGACAUUCCAAGACAUCGUUUCACUUAGCUUUGGUUUACACACCGAAACGCACUCUGUCAAGUCGUUUUGAAUGCCACUGAAUUGCUUUCAAUGGUUACUUUACACCCUCUAAAUGGCAAUUCUUUUAAUCAUUUUGCUGCCGCUCUUCCUUCCAGUCCCAAGUACACAGCCCAAACUUCAAUUUUCUCUGGGAAUAAUGAAUCAUGGCUCAGUCUCAAUAUGUCUUCCAUAUUCCAUGGAACGAGCCAAAGGAGGAGUACUUCUAUAGUUAGUAGCAACUAGCAAUCAUAUUGAUUCUUGAAGGAAUUUUCUGCAUCAGAUAAAGAAAGAGCAGCAGAGAACAAAGCUGUUAAUCAAUCAACACAUGUAAAGCAGUAUUAGUAUUUCUGCCUUAUUGUAGUGCCUAAGUGGGUAUUAGGAUUUCUCCACAAGAACGUUUACUAAGAUAUUCAGCCAAGUGUGAAGUUCAUCAAUAAUCAAUCUUUUCUGGAAAUAAACGAAACAUAUUGAGUGCCAGACUUGUCCAGCCUCUGAAACAGGAUUUCAGAGCAAGCAACAGAACAAAGACAGAAAAUACAUUCAACUGAACCCAACACCAGAAAGCAUCACAAAUAUUAUUUAUUUUUUGUACACAAUUAACGAACCGCCGUUGAAGCACAAAUCAAUGAACUCUCAACUGAAAAUCCGAAACGAAAUUUCUUAUUUAUGAAUAGACAGCGGAAACAAAGAAACCAAAAAAAAUGUCCACCGCCGUAGGAUCAGGAUUUAUUUGUGUAGACAGUAGAAGUGAAGACGGAAAGGAUUCUGGUAGAAAUUGAAGUUCGGGCUGCAGUUAUGAUGUUUUCUUCUCUGAUUUCACCUACACAAGUCAUUGAAGAAAUUGUGAAAAAUAAGAAUUUUAAAUUACAUUUUUUUCCUUAACUAUUAAAACAAAUGAACGCCGAUGUCUGCUAGGCUCAUGGUUGAAUGUGGUCUCCAUUGCUGCUAAAGAGGGCUUGAUGAUUGGGGUGAGUAUCGGAAACACUUUGUAUAACCAUUUUUGUAUUGAAGACAAGGGGAAAAAAAGUAUAUGAAAUUGGAUAAAUAAUUAAAAUUUGAAGAAAUUGGGUAAAACGAGAAACAUACAUCAAAUUCAAUAGGGGCUAAUCAAAUUCCGUAAGGAUAUAGUUGAAUGCCGCACUGUUCCUUGUCCUCAAAUUCCCGUAGCUUUUGUCUCAGCUCUGGCUGAGGCCACCAGCAAUCGAACUUGUUUAAGCUCUUUAUGCACCAGAGCUGUUCAGGCAUCUUUUUCAAGUAAGCACAAGGGUUGAUAAUCAAGCAUUCUAGUUUUGGCAUGGCUCCAAUCCCCAUAGUCCACUCCCCUAGCCAUAGCAUUGAUUUCAGGUGCAAUACCUUGAGAUUUGGAAAACCAUAAGAGCCACAAGUCAGCUUUCUACCUUGUGAAGAAAGCUCAUUGUGCUGAACUGAGAAAAGAGAGGAAGUCAGAAGCUAAGGUUCAUCAGCAAUGCCACGUCAACAAUGCUGAGUCAGCUGAUUCUGUUAAGCAACAAUGAGAGCUCACGUGUGUUGCAGUUAGUUAGUAUUAGCUAACCUCUUACUGAUUAGUUAGUUAAAUUUCAGAGUAAUAUAGAUUAGUUGAUAUAGCUUUUACUAACAAAAUAUGUAACUAUAUAAAGUCUGGAGUUUUACUCAUUUGUUAUUAAUAAUAAACAAUCCAGUAUAUUCAUCAUAUUUCUCUCUGUUUUCUUAGUAACCAAACAACAUUUUCGAUUCAAUUUUUCAUGGUAUCAGAGCUAGAAAUAUGGCAAGCUCAAGCAAUUUAAACACAAAUCCAAACGCAACAAACAUGAAUCAAUCAAUACAAACUACCUUUUCAUUUAUUACGCCAAUCAAAUUGGAUAGAUCCAAUUAUAUGCUCUGGCGAAAUCAAGUAUUAGCUUCCAUAAGAGGAAACAGACUCGAAGGCUAUAUCAAUGGAGAAAAAGCAGCACCUACUCAGUUUCUUACUUCUGGAAGCUAUGCUGAAACAAUGGGAAGAGUUUCACAACAAGUUGAAAAUCCAGAAUACACGAUCUGGAGAUCACAGGAUCAAACAUUACUAAGCUGGCUAUUAAGCUCAAUUACUGAAGGUAUUCUCAGUCAUGUUCAUUCUUGUAAUACUGCAUAUGAUGUGUGGAAAACUUUGGAGAAAAAGUUUGGUGCAAAAUCAGAAGCUAGAGUUCUUCAACUCAAAUAUGAGAUGAGUGUUUUGAGAAAAGAUUCGCUAAAUAUAGAGGAUUAUUGUUUGAAAAUGAAACAAAUAGCUGACAAAUUAACCUGUGCUGGUAGUCCAGUUUCUGAUAAAGAUCUGUUACAACAGAUUCUUAAUGGUCUUGGACCAGGCUAUCUAGAUUUAGCAACUUUCAUUACUGCAAGUAAGCUGGAUUUUGAUGAUUCAUAUGCAUUGCUAUUGACACAUGAAACAAGAUUAGAACAGAGUCUAAAUGAAAAACAGAUGCUCAAUGCAAAUCUUGCUAAUGUUUCUCAUAAUAACAAUAGCUAUGGUAUGAUGAAUGCUUAUUAUGCUCAAACAAGAGGUAAUGCUCGAAGAGGUGGAUAUAAUGGAGGAUUUCAUGGUGGAAAUCAAUUUGGAAGGAAUAAUUUUCAUACUGGAAAGGGAAUGUUUAUCAAUUCUCAUCCAAGAGGAUUUCCUUCUGGAUCUGGAAAUUUUGGUAAUAAUCUUGGUAGAGGUCAAAUGAUUGGAAACAACAAUAAGCAGACACAAUUCAUGAGAGGACAAUAUAGUAUUAACUCUGGUUUGUCAAAUCCUGAUGGUAGUGAUGAACAAUCUGUUGUUUGUCAAAUCUGCUUUAAAACUAGACACACAGCAGCUGAAUGUUGGCAUAGGUUUGAAGAAAACUAUAUGCCUCAACACAUGAAAAGAGGAAGAAAUCAGAGAUCAGCCUAUAUGACAUACCUUACUGCACCUUCUGAAGACUCAUGGCCUGCUACAGCUGCUUAUUCAGGGAUACCUCACAUGUAUAAUCCACCAUGUUCUUCAUACAUAUCUGAUUCAAUGAGCUUGCCUGUGGCUGGAGCUGGAGCUGCUUAUGCUGCUAACUUUGAAGGACCAGCAGAUGAAGGAUGGUAUCUUGACAGUGGAGCUACACACCAUCUGACAAAUGAUAUGGCAAAUAUGCAUGUCAGCAGUGAGUUCAGAGGUAAUGACAAGCUUAUCAUUGCUGAUGGUAAAGGUCUGUCAAUCACACAUGUUGGUAAUGCCAAUUUUAAAGUUCAAAGCUCUAAAACACAAUCUGCUAGUACAUGCAUUGCACUUAAAGAUAUACUGCUUGUUCCAUCUAUUACAAAGAACCUAAUAAGUGUUUCUAAACUCACCACUGAUAAUGACUUAUCUGUUGAAUUUCUUGGUUCUGUUUGCUUUGUGAAGGAUAUACUGAAAGGGAAAAUUCUGCUACUGGGUAUUGCUGAGAAAGGUUUAUACAAAUUGCAGCUGAGUUCAUCACCACAACCUACAUAUACAUCUUUUCUAUCCCAGAGUUCAAUAAAUAAGCCUGUAUCUAUGCUAUCUCAGUGUCAUUUCAGCACUUCAGUCAAUAGUCAUUGUUCUGGAAAAUAUUCUCAGUCCAAUAAGAACACUUGUAGCACUGAUUCAUUCAAUAAAAUGUCUUUGUUUCACAAAAGAUUUGGUCAUCCUAAUACUCAAAGUCUAAUUCAUUUACUUAAGCUUGUGCAUCCUAAUUUGUGCUCUACAAAUAUUGUUAAUCAAGCAACAAAGCAUUUCUGUGAAGCAUGUCAGCUGGGAAAAUUUCACAGACUCCACUUUCCAAUUACAGAUAUAAAAUCCAAAUCAGCACUAGAACUUGUUCAUAUUGAUUUAUGGGGUCCCUCACCAGUAUGUUCUAGAGAUGGUUUUAGAUAUUACAUUAGCUUUGUGGAUGAUUAUACAAGAUACACCUGGAUUUAUCCUUUGAAACUGAAAUCAGAAGCUCUAGAAGUGUUCAAACUGUUUAAACUUCAAGUUGAAAAUCAAUUUCAAACAACUAUCAAAAUUCUCCAAUCUGACUGGGGGGGAGAAUACAGGCCAUUCACUGCCUUCCUAAAUGAAUGUGGCAUUCUCUUUAGACAUUCUUGCCCUUACACUCACCAUCAAAAUGGCCUUGUUGAGAGGAAACACAGACAGAUUGUAGAAUUAGGAUUGACACUUCUAGCUCAAGCCAAACUCCCUUUUCAAUUCUGGUGGGAUGCUUUUCAUGCCUCAGUUUAUCACAUUAAUAGACUCCCUACUUCUGCACUUAAGAUGACCACUCCAUAUGAAAAACUUUACAAACACAAAGCUGAUUAUACCAUGCUGAAAUGCUUUGGAUGUGCUUGUUAUCCAUAUCUGAGAGAUUACAAUAAGCAUAAGUUUGACUAUCACACAACCAAGUGCAUCUUUCUUGGUUACAGCCCAUUUCAUAAAGGUUAUAAGUGUUUUCAUCCCUCUGGUCAUAUAUAUAUAGCUAGGCAUGUUGUUUUUGAUGAAUACUCAUAUCCAUUUGCUUCAGAUCCUAGCUUUCAUCCUUCAGAUAAAUCUAAGUCUGAUACAUAUUGCACAAUUACUCCUAUUCAAGUUUUUCAGUUGUCAACAUUACCUGUCAUAUCAGAUCUUUCAGUCACCAGCAAUGAAUCUUUUUCUCAAGCAUACUCCAGUGGCAACAUUUUCCCUCCAGCAGUAGUCUCAACACAGGUAACAGAUCAGCAACCCUCAAACACAGAUAGAAAUAAUUCAUCUGCACCUACAGUGUUGCCUUCUGUACCUGAUACAAUAUUAGAUCAGCCCUCAGAUGAAAUUUCCCAAAACCAACACAAUAAUAAUACCUCUCAUCUCAAUCAGACAGUGAUAACCCCACCACCAUUAAACCAACAUCCUAUGAUCACUAGAGGGAAAGCAGGUAUCUUUAAACCAAAGGUAUAUACUGCAGUAUUGUUGCAUAAAGAACCAGAUACUGCUCAGGAGGCUAUAAAUGAUGAGAGAUGGUUUCAAGCAAUGAAGACUGAAUAUGAUGCACUGAUGUCAAAUGGUACCUGGACACUUGUGCCAAGAACAGAACAUCACAAACUUGUUGGUAACAAAUGGGUGUUUCGAGUAAAAUCAAACACUGAUGGAAGUGUUGCAAAAUAUAAGGCAAGGUUGGUUGCUAAAGGAUUUCAGCAGAUAGAAGGAGUUAACUACUUUGAGACUUUCAGUCCAGUGGUGAAAGCAGCAACAGUUAGAGUGGUCCUAAGCUUAGCAGUAAUGAAUCAAUGGCAAAUAAGACAGGUUGAUGUAAAUAAUGCAUUCCUAAAUGGAGAUCUAAUUGAGGAGGUAUAUAUGAGUCAACCAGAAGGGUUUAUUGAUUCCAAAAGGCCUGAUUUUGUGUGCAAACUUCACAAGGCACUCUAUGGUUUGAAACAAGCUCCACGAGCAUGGUUUGACAAGCUGAGAAACAGUCUUAUGCAAUGGGGAUUUGAGAACUCAAAGUCUGAUUCAUCUUUGUUCUUGAAGAAGAAUAAAAGAUCAAUUAUUUUAAUCCUGAUAUAUGUAGAUGAUAUAUUGAUUACAGGAUCAAAUGGUGAUGAGCUGGAAGAUUUUAUCAAGCUAUUUAGUUCUGCAUUUGCAUUAAAGGAUCUGGGAAAGCUAUCUUACUUCCUUGGAAUAGAAGUCUUGUAUGAUACUGAUAGUGUAUAUCUAUCACAAAGGAAGUAUAUUAGAGAUCUGCUGGCUAAAGUUGAUAUGCUCGAGUGUAAAGGAAUAGACACACCAAUGAGCAGCAGCAAAGAUUACAGAUUGCAGAAGAGUGUUGAAGGAGAAAUGGGUUACUACAUAGAAGAUCCAUCUCAUUACAGAAGCAUAGUAGGAGGCCUCCAGUAUUUAGUUUUGACAAGACCUGAGAUUGCCUACUCUGUUCAUAAGCUAAGUCAGUAUGUAGCUUCACCAACACUUCAACAUCUUAUGGCUUGUAAACGUGUGCUUAGAUAUCUUAAGGAAACACAAGACUAUGGGCUGAAAUUUGUUAAAGAAGGUGAGUUGAAGGUUACAGCAUUUACAGAUGCAGAUUGGGGAAGUGAUCUUGAUGACAGAAGAUCCACUGGUGCCUAUUGUGUGUAUCUAGGGAACAAUUUAAUCUCAUGGUCCUCAAAGAAGCAAUCUGUAGUUACAAAAUCUUCUGCAGAGAGUGAAUACAGAGCACUUGCAGCAGCUGUUUCAGAGAUAACAUGGUUAAAAUCCUUAUUUCUUGAGAUUGGUUUAUGUUGUGUGGAGAAACCAGUUAUAUGGUGUGACAAUGUGAGUGCCAAAGAACUUGCUUAUAAUCCAGUGUUUCACUCAAGAACAAAACACAUAGAAAUUGAUCUGCAUUUUAUCCGAGAUAAGGUUCUAGCUGGAGAUCUUAAGAUUCUCUAUGUUCCCAGUGCAGAGCAGAUAGCAGACAUAAUGACUAAGCCUUUAAACUCUACUCAGUUCACCUAUCUGAGAGACAAACUUAAUGUGCAUUUAUGCCCCUUGAGUUUGAGAGGGGCUGUGAAGAAAGCUCAUUGUGCUGAACUGAGAAAAGAGAGGAAGUUAGAAGCUAAGGUUCAUCAGCAAUGCCACGUCAACAAUGCUGAGUCAGCUGAUUCUGUUAAGCAACAAUGAGAGCUCACGUGUGUUGCAGUUAGUUAGUAUUAGCUAACCUCUUACUGAUUAGUUAGUUAAAUUUCAGAGUAAUAUAGAUUAGUUGAUAUAGCUUUUACUAACAAAAUAUGUAACUAUAUAAAGUCUGGAGUUUUACUCAUUUGUUAUUAAUAAUAAACAAUCCAGUAUAUUCAUCAUAUUUCUCUCUGUUUUCUUAGUAACCAAACAGCAUUUUCGAUUCAAUUUUUCAUACCUGAAUACGAGUUUUGCUUCAGUUUGAGCACUUGAAGAAGCGGCAGCUUUUCUAGUGUUGGCAUGGGAUCAUCCAUUAGGUCAGUAUUAGAAAAACUCAAGUGGGUUAGACUAUGAGGAAAUAGGUAUUCAGCAAGGACGAUUUUGGAGAGCCGUGGCAUCUUGCUUUCAUUCACCAGCUUCAACGACUCGAGACAGCUCAAUCUGCAGAGACUUUUGGAAAACAAAGAUUGAUUAUAACUUAAAUCUCCCCGUAUUCGGAGAUUUCGAAGAUUAGGUAGUCUGCCCAAUAUAUCUUCAGUACAGCAGCAAGGAUGCAAGGCAGAAAUGAAAUUGAGAUUUUCCAGAGAGCCGCAAUAUUUUCCUGGAUGCGCAGGAAGUGUGAUUGACCCAAAAUUUAGAUGCCUGAGUUUUUUCAUCUUCCAAAAUUCAUCUGCUGUAUGAUCUAUAUAGCUAAUGGGCAUGUCUAGGGUGUAGAGGUUCAGAAGAUUGCUUAACAAUGAGGAAGGCAGGCUUUUGAGGGAAGGGAUAUUCAACUUCAAAUAUCUCAAAAGAAAUAAAUUUUCAAUUCCGGAUGGAUACUGGAUGAGAACAAGAGAUUCCAAGUCCAAUACUCUGAGAAGUUUGAACAUUCCACAAAUGUUCUCCCAAUCCAUGGGGUCAAAGUGGCGGGUUUCUGGAGAGCAGAACAACAAAGACUGCAGUUGCGAGUCAUAAUCAUCUAAGCAAGCAAAAUCACCCUCUCUUUCAACAGCGUUUAACCGUUUGGCAUUUUUUUGUGAUUUACCUUCUGGAUCCAUGAAAGGGGAAAAGAUAAAUUCCACCCUAUAAGGAACUGUCAUCAACACAGGAUGGCAACGACCUGGAAUAGAGCAUGUGUUGAUAGUGCCUGCAGCUUUUCUCUUCUUUGCUUCAACAAAGCCUCCCUUGAUUAGUUGUUCUAAGUAAUUCUCAGCAGUUGCCUCACUAUUGUCUGGGAUGAAACCUUCAGCUAUCCACAACUGAUAUAACUGCCUGGUGGAUAUCUCUAGGUGUGCGGGAAACACAGAUAAGUAGAGAAAACAAAGUUUCAAGCAAAAAAGUAACCUGCAAUAUUUGAAGUACCGAAGGACAAAGGGUGUCUCGAAUACUUCCUCUAUAUUUUCUUCAAAUGAGAUGCUUCCAUGAUAUAAGAUGAGGAAAGGCCAUCCUUUAUAUGUAGCUCUCAAUGGUCCUCCAGUUGGCACUGAAUCAAGCCGAAUGUUCUCUCCGUCUUCGAGCUGAAAUGAGGUGACCAUCUUAAUUUGAGUGAGUGUUAUUAAUACUCUACUUCUAUUCUGAUUAUCCGGGAGUAUUUCUCGAAUAAUAUCCCUUACUUCAAUGUUCCACACAUCAUCAAUCACAAUCAAAUACCGCUUGGUCAUUAGAUAUUCAUGAAGAAUAAUUUUUUUCAUUUCAUAAUUUUUAUCCUUUAUUUCACUCAACCUAGAUCAAGGCAUCAGAAACUUAAUAAUGAUAUCUAAUAUUUGGUCCGCUUCAUACGGACAAGGCUCCUGAAUCCCAGUGUGACAAUCAAAAUAAUGCUUCACAUAACUGCUGUUGUAAGCCUCUCCGGCAAAAGCCGUCUUGUCCAACCCAAUGCUAUCAAGUAUGGCCACCACUGAAAGCUGAGGUGGUCCCUCGAUCAAUAGAUCUAACAACUCCUCCAUUCUAUCAUCUAGACCCACCAUGUCCCUACUUUUAGAAGAUGAAGAUAUACCGGCUUCAGCUUCCAGAUUUUUGAAGGCAUGAAAGAUUUCGGAAUCGAUGUGCGGAACUUGUUG